rnacentral:lncRNA from 1 species
CGUGGUUUCAGCAGACCAGAGUACUCCAAGACGAUGGGCACUUGCUUAAGGAUUGCCAUUGAUUUCGCAAGUUGGUUGGAUGAGGAGAUCUGAGCAAGGAGCCAGAAUUCACCAUAGGUCACAGCAAAAGCUGAUAGGGUUAGCACCAGCUUUGCUUCCCAUGAAUAGCUUGUUAACAGGUCGAAUAUAGAGAGUGUUGUUGCAUGAGCGUCACCUCCGCCCAAACUCUUGUAUGCUAUCUGAAUACAUAAUUGAUUGACCACAUGUCAAUGUAAACAAACAAAUAAAACGUAGUCAUGCCAUGUGUAUAAUGCAUACGAGAUACGAGUUUUCUGUAUGCCAUUCUAAGAAAUGAAUUUUUGCAGUAGUUCUUUGUAAUAACCUGGCAGGCAAUUCGAUCAAUGGUAAAUGACAGUGCUUCGAGCAAAGCAAUGAAACUGGCUUGAUGAGUCCUAUCAUCAGAAGUUUCAAUGCGUGUUUGGGCAUCCUGCAAUGAAAUCACAAGUGGAUUAGCUACUAUAAAUGCAUAGAAAAUUUGUAUCUGCAUACCCUUUCGUCCAAGUAUCCUUCAGUAAUUAGGACUGUCAAUUGCAUGCUCUCACCUAACACAAGAAAAUAAAAUGUGGAGGUUCUGAUGUUCUUGAACUAAAUGAUUCCACCCCAUAAAAGCAGCUCAAGGAUUUGGAAAAAGAAGAGUGUUAUUGUGAAGGAGUUGAAAUUUUGAAAUAGAUUUUAUCUUCACAACAUAUAAUAGGAAAAAAGUAGACUUCCGGCAGUAAAAAGUUUGUUAUUCUGAAAAUAUUUUAGAUGUAGAUAAGUGACUAUAUGGCGUCAAACUUUCUAGUGUUGAUUUUGUGGAGAUAACAUGGGAGUUGGCUAGUUAGUGUGAUAUUGUGCUGGCUAGGAAUCCUUGGUUGGUAUAUGCAUUUACUUUUGUUUUGGCUAUCGAAAAAAAUGAACAAGGUCAAGAUAUUAAAAGCAGCCUGAACAAAAGAAACUGGCAAAAACAUUAGGCCUUUACUAAAUAAGAGGUUAUAGUAGUGUUAUACCGAAAUUAAGGGAUCAACACCCGGUGUAGCCCGAUUCAGGAUGUCUUCCACGAGUUGGAAAAGAGGCUUAACAUCAAACUCUCGGCCAUCAGGAGCAUGGGUUGCGUGAAUUUGUUUCAUCAUGAUGUUGUCAUCAGACAUGGUUAUCAUGCUCCUAUCAUGCCUGGUCAGUUGAUGUAAGGGAACUGGGUUGAUCUUGGUGGUUACUUCGUGCUGCAUUGGAGUUGGGUUGAUCACCUGCCGCGAACCUGGGUUCGCUUGCUGCAUUGAUGAUGGUUUCAUCAGUUGCUGCGUUGGAGUCGGGUCGAUCACUUGCGGCAUUGGAUUUGGGUUACUGAGUUUGUUGGUAGUCUCCAUUUUGUGUAUGCAAAGGAAGGCAAGUAACUAAGAUUUGAGGCAGAACGGAAGAGGAGAAGAUGGCUUGUGUUCCUUUUGCAGACUGCUUGCCCUUUAUAUACCCUUCACAAACGAAUAAAGCGAGCCUCACUGAAUCAACUUCUUUACUUCCUCCAUAAUUAAAAUUCAAAAACUUUGGACCAAGAUUUGCUUUCGUGACGCAUCUUCUUGUUUCUCGAUUUUAUUCUUUUGGGUGGUCCCGAAAGCAGCAGUUACUUCUGAAUCAAGAGAGAGCUCUGGGUCCCGCGAAUUUGGCACCAGAGAAUUUUCUUAUUCCUUGUAGAAUUCUUCAUCAAAACAUACAAACUGCGAACGCAACAACAAAAAUUCAAAACCUUGACGGUCUCAUUCUAUGGUGCUUUGAUAGAUCCACUUUAUACGGGGGCUUAUAGGAGUAUAGAAAUAAUAUUAUUUAUCUAUAUAAUUAAAAUUUUAUAUUAUGUUUGUAUAGAUGAAAAUUUAUUAAUUUGGUUUUUAUUUUCUCUUUUAAAAUUAUAGUUUUCAAUCAAUAAGAGAUUAAUAAUUUGUGUUUAUAAGAGUUGCUACACAAGUAAGAAAAUAAAAACUUAUGUAGAUUUAAUUUAUUUAUUUAUAAGUUAUCUUUAUUGUAGAAUAAUUUUUUUUUUUCAAAGGGAGAAGUAUGAAAUUCCAACAUGCAUGAGAAAAGAUGUUGGCGUGAUUUAAACUAUUAAGAAUUAAAGAUUUUAUUUUCUCUAUUUUUCUUAUGACUAUAUAUAUGUAUAAGCAAAAUCCAAAAAAGAAAUAUUAAAAAAAGUUAUUGAUAAAAGGGAUUAAUAGAUGAACAAUGUGAUUUUUUUCUAUAGUUUUUUUCUCUUCUUAUUUUUUAUUUUUUUUAUUUUUUUAUCUUGUUACAUUUAAAAAAAUAAUAUGAGAAAAUUUUAUAGUAGUUUCCCAAGUGUUGAGUUAGGUAAAUUAGUUCUUUUGUAAAUGUCAUUAGCCUAUGCUAAUUGAUUAAUCAUGAUAUUGCCUUUGCGAAACAAUUGCAUUUUUCCUACUUUAUGUUGUGAGUGUUAUUAUCCUUUGCCAAAUGACUUUUUUUUUUUGGCUUGAUGGCUCUUACAUUUUGGAACUCUUGAUGCAUGAAUUUCAUUCAUUCAUUUUGGUCAUCAUUGCUAAAAAUUUCAUCUUUCUUAGUUGAGUUCAUGACACCUAUUGUGAAUGUUAGUAUCUUUUAGUUUAGUCAAUACUUGGUUUAAUUUUAUCUUGAAUGAUCUAAACUACUUUUUAAAUGAAACAUAUGUAAUAAUUAGUAUGUAUAUCAUGAUAUUGAUUUAGAAAAAAAAAUGUAGUAAUAAUAUUUCUGAAUUUUCUAAUGUUAAAAAAGUUAAAGUACUAUCUAUGUUUUUCUUUGUAUGAUAGGGGCCUUAAAUCAAUUAAAGAUCUUGGUUAUUUCUCAAUGAUAAACAAUAUGUUUUUUCACAUGAAUUUUAUGUUAAUUAGCUUUUUGGAGGUUUAAGUUGAAACUAUUUUUCAUAAAACUUAUAUUUUGUCUAAAUUUUAGGGUAUUUGACAUUGAUAAUUGAAUCAAGUGACCUUUUGACCUUCAUUUUGAUGACUGUUUUAGGGUAUUCAAUCACACAAUAGAUUAGUUUAUUAUUUGUCUGAUUAUAAUUUCUUGUUGAACAAACUUAAAUAGCAUAUGCAGAAAACUGUGGUAGUACAUCGUAGGUGGAAGCUUUAAGAUAUAGCUUUAAGAUAUGUUCUUUUCUUGUUCAUAUGUUCCUCAAUAUUUUUUCUUUUAAUUUAUUGUAUUUUUAAUUUUUGUAUUCUAAUACCAAAAGAAUAGAGGCUUUUACUAGAGCUCAACCUCCAAGGAUGCCUAUGCACUUCUCCAGGAGGAAGUAUAACGAGUUGCAUCAAAGGAAUACUUUAUGUCUUAAGAUUCGAACAUAUGAUGUUUAUUAUGUAAACAAAACUGAUAAUCCUCAAGUAAUAUCAUUUUAAUGAGGCUAAAUGCAUUCUUCUAUUUCGACAUUAGCAUAUGAUGAUUAUAAUACCUUUUUCAAUCAGAUUUUGAGCCAACCUUUGGAAAAUCGAAUGUUUGCCCUUCGCUCUAGUUUUUGGUACUUAUAUGGUCAUUAUAGUGCUACUCUCCGAGUUCCAAUUGAAAGUUGAAGUCGCAAGGGAAGUGUUCAAAGUAACGAGAUUCUAUAAGCCAUGAAAUUAAGAGUGAGGAUCACCUCAUAGAAUCCACACCUAAUUAGCACUCUCGUGGAUGAGUGUGCAAAAAAACAAACAUGCACGAAAUUUGUCUAGAAAAAUUAGCAUCCCUAUAGCACUAGUGUAGAGUAAGAUAUAGAAAUUGGCAUCCUUUCCGAAGAUGUAUAGACUGCUUUGCCGAUUUCCAAUAUUUUUAGUUGUUGGGUAUAUUCAAAGCUCUAAAAAUUUAUCACCUCACCUAGUAUUGUUGAGCUUGUGACUAGGGAUAUAAGUACCUAUAUUGCAACUAAAAAACUUAACUCUUCUAUUUUAGAGGCCCUUUUUUUCCAUUCUCUAUUCAAGGGUUUAGAUUUCUUCAUUCAUUCUUUUUGUUUUAGCUUGAAUUAGUUUAGAAUUUAGCUUGAAUUUAGAUUUGUAUAUAUUCCAUCGUUCUUGCACAUUAUUUUUGUGUGUUUCUUUACAUUUCCUCUAUGCAUUUUGGCACUUCAAUAUUUUUGUUUAUGGAUAUAUUAAUGUUUAUCAAGUUUGAUUAGUUUUGUUGUACUAGGAAGAUGGCUCUUUGAUGGGUGAACUGUCAUGGUUGUUUUACACCAAACUAAUUUAGGUUUUGAUAAACAUCGAGAAAUUUCUUUCACUACAUGAUUUUGAGGAAGUUUAGAGGCAUUAUCUAUUAGUGUGCAAAAGUCACCUAAAUUAUGGUGAUGUCAAAUGCUAUAAAAGAUUAAUUUGACAUACUCUUAGAUAAAAUGGUCAAACCCAAUCCAAGAUUUUCAUAUUUUUCAUGCUUCAUAAUGACCUAAUUUUGUGCUAACUUGAUAUCCUCAACUUAUUUGAUGCUUUGUAGUGCUAGAUAAUCCUUUUGUAAGUGUUUCGAGAGAAUAAAAAAGAAUAUUGUACAUUACCUAGGAAAAUAGCAUAGAAGGGUUGCAAUGCAAAUUUGCUUUCCAUGAGAGAAGACCAUCUGAGCAGUAGUGUGAUGAACCAAGAAUUCAACUAAAAUAAUCAAUCAUAUGAUGGAAAAUUCUUAUGAAUUUUUCUAAAAAAACUAAGCAAUCAAAAGAGUUGAAUUCAAAAUAUUCAAACUAUCAACUUCUAUCACUUCUAACUCUUUUAAUUUUUCUAUCAAAUCGGUUUUCUACUUUGAGAAAAUAUUUAAUAUUUUUCAAUAAGUAAAUGUGAGUAUAAUUUGUAAAAUCAUUGAUAAAAGGGAUGAAAUAUUUGUUUCCUCCAUAAGUUAAAAUCACAUAAAUUUGUAUGUAUCAACCUAACAAUUUUAUUGUCUUCUUAACACUUUUAAGAUGCCUUUUUUUUUUUGGUGAUUUUGGUCAUAGAAAAUGUCUCAUAUUUUUUGAAGUCCUUUUUUGACAUUAAGAAUUAAUUCCAAACUAUUCAUGUUUCUCUUAAAUUUUCUACUUAUAUCAGGAAAUACGGGUAUGACAAACAUUUAAAGAAAAACACAUACAAACAAAACUAGAAGAUGUUUUAUUUUCGAUAUUCAAUUUAAACAUUUCAUCGUAAGCAUUACCAUUGCCUACAAAAAUCUCCCUGGUUAGAUUUCAUUGUUUGCUUAAACUUGGUUGAUUAAGUUAAUAUAAGAUUCUUGAUUAUGGAAUGAGUACAAACAUAAUGUUUAAAGGUCACAUCCUUCUAGAGGUGAAUUUUAACUUAACCUUACAGCUUCCAAAUAUUUGAGUAGUGUGUGAAUCAUUGAUCAUGAUUGUCUUAGGCUCCUUAAAAGAAGUGUAUACCUUGAACUAACCUAUCAAAUGGUAGACAUACCUAUUAGUACCAGAUUCUACCCUUAAAUCCUUCAACACUUUGAAACAUUUUAGUAAUCAUAGUCAUAAAUGACUCCUUAGUUGUUGAAAAGAUAGAAAGAAAUCCUUGAUAAGAAAGGGUUCAUCCUUGAUAAUCAUUAUGGACAAGUGUGAAUAAAGUUUCUAAGGACAUUUCCUUAUGUUUAUGGCACACAUUUUCCUCAAAUUCCUUCCAUAAUGGUGGUAAUUUGUAAAUGAUACAAAGAAAAUAAGGCUGCCACCAAUUUUGAUUAUUCCUUUAGAAAUGGAUUCAGAAAAUAAGAGUACUACUAUUCAGAAGUCUUGAACUUUAGUUUACAAUGGAUUUCCCUCCAAACAUCUAAUUAUGGAAAAGUUGACUAAUACUUAUUUACUUAUUUGCACUUGCUUUAAUGAUGUUGUUUCCACUUGCAAGGCUUUCCAAUUUUUUUCAAAGGAAAAUAGGUAGUGUCAUAAUAAUCAUAAAAAUGUUCAUCAAAACACAAUCCAAGAGAUAAUAUCAACAAUCACAUUCAUCUUUUUCAUAUCUCUCAAUCUCUAUUUCUUGCUCAUAGAGCUCAUCUUUAUUCCUAGAAUUAGUAGGGAUUACUUUUUGUGUUGUUCUUAGUAAGUGACUGAGAAGAUUGAGAUAGAACUUUUCUUUCUCACUUCACGUACUCCUUUGAAACAAAAAGGCCUUUUGAGAUCUCCAAUAUUCACAUAGAUUUUUGUAUUAAUGGGUUCCAAUUUUCUUACUUUCCUUAAAAUUGUUGCUAUAGGACUUUCAAAUAAUAAUAAAAAUACAAUAACAUUAAUUGAGUAGUAUACAGGAACAAUUUGGUUAAGAGAACAAAAAUCGUGAUUUCUCUAAAGAGAUUCAAAAUCUCAAUGAUUUGAUAAUUAAUGUUAGAAAUGCAUUACUAAAUUUUCUUAUCUUUUCUAAGAUAUAACAACCCAAUCUAAUCGGUGUAUAGCUGAGACUUAUUUACAUAUAUGGCAAAUCUUAAAGCUCCAUAAAAGCAAAAUCCUUCUUUGGCCAAGAAAAUAUUAAGAAGAAAAAAGAACAAAAAUGAAAUGCUUAUGAUACUUUUAUGAAAUGUUGAAGACUAGUUAUAAGUAAAUUAUGCCAAUCAAACUAUAAGAGAAAUGAUAAAAUUUCCUGUGGGGUGAAUCAAAAGUCUAUGUAAAGUAUUGAAACCUCUCAGUAACUCAUCAUGACAUUCAAUCUUUCUUAUUUUAGUUUUUACACAAGCAAGGAAUCAAAUUUUAAUUUUAGUUGAAGUCUAGUUCAAAUCUUAAUUGAUUAUUUUUAAGUUUAAUCUACAUAAAACAUUCCAAAUAUUCUUAUUUAAUUUUAUUUCUUAGCUACAUUUUAGCCUUAAAUUCUGAUGGUCCAUCAUAACCCAGAACUAUUCACUAAUUAAGAGUUAGGUCUUCUAGUGAGAGCCAUAGUUGCAAUUUUCAUGCUCACUCCUUGCUCUAAGUUGCUCUUUCCCAAAGAACCCACCCCCAGAAAAAUAUCGCUUGUUGGCUGUAGUUUCAACCUAAAACAAAGAAGGGAUAUUGAAAGAAAAUUGAAAAGUAACACCUAGAAACAAGGGAGUAAAAUAGUUCACCAAAAAAUAUUGGGUUUUAGAGGUUAUUGAGAUGGAGGUGUGUGCUUUUUCCGUUUCUUGCCAAUUUAUGAGCUAUGAGGAUAAUUUUGUAUUAAUUUUUACUAAGGAGGAUGGGCCUUUUCUUAGGGGGUAGAGAGAGGACUUUUGGGAAGAAUUGACUGACAUUAGAGGGUUUUGGACUGAUCCUUGGUGUGUCCAUGAAGGUGUCAAUAUGCUAAGAUUUUGAGGGAAAAAGAGGAAUUGUCCCAAGUGUUCAUCUACCAUGAGGUGUUUCUUGGACAUAACUAAGGAGAUUAAUUUGCAUGAUCUAACUCUAAUUAGAGGACCCUGUGCUUGGUGAGGAGGUAUAAAUAAUCAUUUUGCUUCAAGAUUAGAUUGGUUCCUUGCUUUGAAAGAUUAGAAUAGUCAUUUUGGUGAUAUUUUACUGAGCAUUCUAGUUGGAUCAAUGUUUGAUCUUGCCCCAAUUUUGUUAGAUGGAGAUGGGAAAAGGGGGAACAAAACUCAUUUUAGGUUUGAAAAUAUGUGCCUUAGAGCAAAAGCUUCAGAGAGUAAAUUAAUUUUGUUGUAGAACUCUUAGUAAUUGAAAAUAUGUUCGAAAAUAUGAAUUUCGAACUAUAAUCUCAUAUUUGAAUAUAAAUAAUUAGUUAUAACUAUUUAAUGGGGAAUCUAAAUGUUAUUCAAUAUCCCCUAUUUUCUAUUUAAUUCAUAUAUUUCUUUCUCUCUAUUUCUAGAAGUAUUCACUUAUAUAUAUUUUUUCUGAAAUUGUAAUUGAUUUUAGUUUUUUGUGCAUGUAGGCCAGCUUUUUGUGAAAUUAACCUUGUAGUUGGAUAAGCUAGCAUGAAGGAGUAUGUUAAAGACCAAAGCACAAUUGGGUUGCAUGUAAAGAAAUGGGUUGCAUGUAAAGAAAAAAUGAACUAUGUUAAGGAACUAAACAUUAAAGUUAUGAUUUUUUUUUUAAAUAUAUUUUAGCUUUUUUGUGUUUCUUAUUUAUGAAAUACAAGUUCUCUAUUUGUGAUUAAAUACUGCAAUUUGGAAAUGUAUUACCAGGUGAAAAAUUAGGUGCAACAACUAAUUUCAUUGGUACAUAAUUUUUUUUCUUAUGUGUAUGCAUUAUUUCAAUAGAAGGUGAAAAAUUAGGUGCAACAAUUAUUAAAUUAAAAUUAAAAAAUUUUCUUCCUUGAUGCUUUUACUAAGUGUCAAGGAAUGAGAGUAACCACCAGUAACAUUUAUACAAUCCAAUAAUGGCACUAAUAAAUAUGUCAAUGUAGUGUGAACAACUAACAAUGACACUUUUUAAGUGUCAAGGUUCUCUUUAGUGGUGCUUUCUAAAAGUGUCCUUAUAGUUCGAUAUUUGAAACUGCUAAACAAUGGCACUUAUAGAAAGUGUCAAGGUUUCUUCUACUCAACAAUGGCGCUUAUAAAAGUGUCAAUGUAGUUUGAUAUAACCAAUUAUGACACUUUUUUAAAGCGUCCAGGUUCUCUUUAAUGACACUUUCUAGAAGCGUCAUUAUAGGCAAAUACUUAUUAUAACAGGCUAGUAGAUGACGCUUUGGGGAAGCGCCAUUGAAUAUAUUUCUUGACACUUAAAAAACGUCAUGGUUAACAUUUUGUCUUAUAGUGAAUUAAAUGUAGUAAUAAAGAGGAUGUGUGGAAAGGUGGGUUUCAUGCACAAAUUUAAAAAAAAAAUACAUAAAAUGAAAACCUUUAAAAAUAAUUCAAAUUUUAUGUAUUUUCAAGUCAAAAAUACUUAUGAUGAUCAAAAUUAAUCAGUACCCACUUUGUUUCUAGAUGGUCAAAUAAUUAAUUAACGUUACAAAUAAGAUAAUACUUUUGAUCAAAAGGUGUACAAAAUCCUAAUUAUCUUUGGGUAAUUAGUGUAUUAAAUUUAAAUUUUACAAAUUCUUUGUAUAAAAACAAACUUUUUCCCUUUAUCUGAAUCUAUUCUAUAUUCCAACAUUUCAAACAUGGGGAAUCAUAAUAUUGUGAGUUAUAUAUGAACGUAUUAUUGGUCUUCAGUUUCGGUUCUGAAUUUUAUAGUGACAACUACGUGGGAACACAUAAGCCUGAUCAAAACAAGGAUAAUAUUUAAAGGAAACUCCAACAUCUAAUAGUAAUAACGACAUGGAGUAUACAAGGUGCUUCCUUCCACAUCAUCUGGAUGCAACGAGACAAUAAAAUCUUAUUACAUCACACGGAAAAACAGGAAGGGGAAAACAAAGAAAACAAAACAAAUAAACACACGCAUGGAAUUAUUUCAGUAACAGGCAACAUGCAUACAUCAUAUGCAAAACAGAAGUAGAGGCUUAGUAGAGUGCGCUUAUGGCGUUCUCGUCAUGGCAGCACCCAAAAGUGAUGUACUUCUCCAUGAUGCGGAGGCACUCUGGGCACUUGAUGUUCUCCGGAAUCCUUCCAACUUCGCUAGGGAACUCAAAACGGCAGCAGGGCCGAGAAUCGCUAUGAAGCUUACUAUGGAAAUCCAUGUAAGCUAUGUCGAAGCCCUUUGGGGGCACGUCGUCUUUCCAUGCAUUGUACUCGGUAAAGGUGAGCAAAACAGUGCUGCUGUGGCCAUUGACGAAUACAAAAGAUCCAUUGCUGAGUACAGCCCAUCCUCCUUCCUUGUCGUAGCUGAUCAGUUUCUUGAUUUCCCGCAGCAUAGGGUCGACAUCGACAGUACUACCUAGCUGGAUCUUGGAGAACAUCAUGCUUUCCAGUCGGGUCCAGAAGAACCAGACCAUGGUAAGAUCUUGCCAGCAGUAGCUGAGUUUCUCCACAGUAAUGGCAGUUGUGCAUUUCCGGACUUGCUCUCUUUUCUUGCUCUGUCCCACGUACACCAUCUCUAAGGGGAUCCGUGCAGCCGAUGCAACUGCCCGUGCGGUGGUUGUGAAUUUUCGGAUCCAUUCCAGGUCAGUUCCUCCGUACAAGUAAAUGAAUUUUCCUUCUUUGAUCUGAUAAAAAAAUAAAAUAAAAUCUCCAGAUAAGUGAAGUCAUUCAUCCACAUGUAAAGCUAGCUGUGUGUUUAGAUUGGUGAAGGUGAAUUACCCAGUUCAGUAUGGUUGGGUCAAUACCAUCCACCAGCAGCUCAAGCUUCCAACUCUCUUCCCUCCAAAGAGCUUCCUCCCUCAAACUAGUGAACGGGAAGGCGGUACUCCCCCAUAUCCACAUCAUGUGGAUUGCAUUAGGGCUCACCACUUUUCCUUGUGGAUCUAGCACCACAAGGAUGGGCUUGUUCCGGAAGUGCCACACCUCCUUGAUGAAUCUGAUGACUGCCUUAUCAAUCAGUGUAGGAGUGUAGACUGAAUACCAUGGCAUUGUGGCCUGCAGAGUCACAAACCGAUCUUGCAUGGCAUCUGUCCACACAACUGAGCGGUCCACAACUGGGAUCCACACAACUUCGUACUGACUCUCCAUCCUAGUCCCGUGGUCCCGAGACUCAUUAUAGAUCUGAUCCAGAAUUGAAAGCUCGUCAUGGGAGAUGGAUAGGCCUGAUAUAAGCAGCAAAACAUUCUUCCUCCUCAGCACAUCUAUGUUAACCUGCGGCAUUAAAGUUAGAACUUUAGGUUAGUAGUAACGAAGUGGAUAUAUGACAGUUUCAUGGAAUAGUGCUACUGCCAAUGCAGUAAUGCAGUGAUAUGUUUGUAGAGUGAACCCUUCUCUUUGUAGAGCCUUCAAGCAGUGGCUGCACGUCAUCCUUGGGAGAAAUCAGUGCCCUGAGAAUCUUCAUGUUGUCAAUGUGAAUACUCUCAAAAAGAUUCAGAAGCAUUUGAAAAGUUUCAGCAUUCCGCUUAUCAUCUGCAUCAAACAGCAAUCCCUUGUCAGAUUUAAAGUCCAUUUCAUUGGUAUUUACAUUAGCUGUGCAACACUUGCUUCCAUAAAUUUGGAACGGGUUGGUGGUCCUACCUAUGUAUUGGUAACAAAGAGUAAGUUGCUUCUUCAGAAGGUCCAGUAUGCUAUUGAUCUUGUGAGCCAUGGUGGACAGUUCCCAUGCCUCAUUUGUAGCAGAUAUCCAGUACCUAAAAUCAUUGCAAUUGUCAUAAGUAAAAUGAUUGUUGCCUAAUCAGCAUUCCCAAUGGAUUAAGUGGCAUAUCAUAUAAUUCUUCCACAAAAUCAGAGGCAUUUAUUUUUUGUAUUUGGAAAAUUAGCAAAUGGAAAAGAUAUUUAGUUGGCAGUACGUUGCUUUACUAAGGUUGAAAGAUUGAAGCAUGAUAUAUCAGCAAAGAGAAUAUAACAUACUCAUGGCCCAUGCUAGUGAGGGUUGUAAUCUGAGUUGCGCAAGCCACAACACUCCUGAUGGUCCAGUAAACAGCAGUGGGGAUAUGGGUCAUUGCUGUUGCUAAUGCUGGUACGUCCUGGCUUAUAUACAUGGACGGGAGCUCCUUGAACUCAAUAAUGCACCUGGUAAUUGCCACCAUAGCCCUGAUGAGAUUGUUAAGAGCAUCAAACCGUGGUUUCAGUUGACCAGAGUGCUCCAAGAUGGUGGGCACUUGCUUAAGGAUUGCCAUUGAUUUCGCAAGUUGGUUGGAUGAGGAGAUCUGAGCAAGGAGCCAGAAUUCACCAUAGUUCACAGCAAAAGCUGAUAGGGUUAGCACCAGCUUUGCUUCCCAUGAAUAGCUUGUUAACAGGUUAAAUAUAGAGAGUGUCGUUGCAUGAGCAUCACCUCCGCCCAAACUCUUGUAUGCUAUCUGAAUACAUAAUCGAUUGAUCACAUGUCAUUGUAAAGAAACAAAUAAAACGUAAUCAUGCCAUGUGUAUAAUGCAUAAGGGAUGAGUUUUCUGCAUGUCAUUCUAAGAAAUGAAUUUUUGCAGUAGUUCUUUGUAAUAACCUCGCAGGAAAUUCGAUCAAUGGUAAACGACAGUGCUUCGAGCAAAGCAAAGAAACUGGCUUGAUUUGUCCUAUCAUCAGAAGUUUCAAUGCGUGUUUGGGCAGCCUGCAAUGAAAUCACGAGUCGAUUAUCUACUAUAAAUGCAUAGAAAAUUUGUAUCUGCAUACCCUUUCGUUCAAGUAUCCUUCAUUAAUUAGGAUUGUCAAUUGCAUAUGCUCUUAACUAACACAACAAACUAAAACGUGGAAGUUUUAAUGUUCUUGAAUUAAAUGAUUUCACCCCAUGGAAGCAGCUCGAGCAUUUGGAAAAAGAAGAAGAGUGUUAUUGUGAAGGAGUUGAAAUUUUGAAAUAGAAGUUAUCCUCAAAACAUAUAGUAGGAAAAAGGUGGACUUCGGCAGUAAAAAGUUUGUUAUUCUGAAAAUAUUUUAGAUGUAGAUAAAUGACUAUAUGGCGUAAAAAUUUCUUGUGUUGAUUUUGUAGAUAACAUAGGAGUUGGCUAGUUAGUAUGACAUUGUGCUGGCUAGGAAUCCUUGAUUGGUAUGUGCAUUUACUUUUGUUUUGGCUAUUGAAAAAAAUGAACAAGGUCAAGUAAUUAAAAGCAGCCUGAACAAAAGAAACUGGCAGAAACAUUAGGCCCUUACUACAUAAGAGGUUAUAGGAGUGUUAUACCGAAAUUAAGGGAUCAACACCCGGUGUAGCCCGAUUCAGGAUGUCUUCCACGAGUUGGAAAAGAGGCUUAACAUCAAACUCUCGGCCAUCAGGAGCAUGGGUUGCGUGAAUUUGUUUCACCAUCAUGUUGUCAUCAGACAUGGUUAUCAUGCUCCUAUCAUGCUUGAUCAGUUUUUGUAAGGGAACUGGGUUGAUUUUGGUGGUUUCUGCGGGCUUCAACACUUGCUGCAGCGGAGCUGGGUUGAUCNNNNNNNNNNNNNNNNNNNNNNNNNNNNNNNNNNNNNNNNNNNNNNNNNNNNNNNNNNNNNNNNNNNNNNNNNNNNNNNNNNNNNNNNNNNNNNNNNNNNNNNNNNNNNNNNNNNNNNNNNNNNNNNNNNNNNNNNNNNNNNNNNNNNNNNNNNNNNNNNNNNNNUGAGAAGUAGCAGUUCACGUUGCCUUUAUGUGCCUUGGUUUUACUUUGCUCUGUGUUUUUUCUUGUUUCUUUCUCUACAGAUUUGCAGGCCUUCAUUUAUGCGGAGAACCAGUAGCUUGUUCAAGGGUAGCAUCAACAGCAGACCAUCCAACACUUACACAUACUCAUAACUCCAAAAUGCAAAUGGUCGAUGAGCUACCAUAGGAAAUCUUCACUGACACUUCCUAACCAACACUCACCAUCCUCACCCUUAAUCAGUGAGCCUCCACAAACAACUAGAAGCUUAAAAGCUAUUGAGAUUUUUGGACCCCACACAAAAGCUGUUGUUUGUUUUAUAAUGUUCUAAUGAGAAGUCUGGAAUUCAAUUUUUUCCCCUUCAAAUUUUCUUUUGAAAAUUUCUCUAACCUAAACCUCUGUUACUUUGUGUGUGUUCUAUUUAGAUCUUGUCUUUGGAUUCUUUUGUAUAAAUUUAUAAUGUUUUAGACUCAGAAAUGUAGGGAAAUGAACUAUUUUUGUUUUUGCUCUGUUAUUGCUUCCCUUUUGCUUAUGCCAUUUAAGUUUAUAUUUUCAUGAUUUUGAUCUCAGAAAGCGGUGUUUAAGAUUCAUAGAUGACGGUUGACUGCAUAAAAGUUGUUGGCUAUUUAUUGGACUUAAGUAGUGGAGAUUUAUUUUGAUUACUUUUAUUUUCCAAUGAUUUCUCACUAUCCAAGCAAAGUUUAAUAUUAAGAAAUUUGAUUGCUUCAUACCAUGUUGUUUAGUAUUUAAAGUUUUAUGGUUUAGACUGUUAUUAUUGUUUUAUAUUAGAUGUAUUUAAAGAAACUGGUUGCAUCUGAACCUAGUUAUGGUAAGGUGUAUUCCAAUUAGAAAAUUAGAAAAGUACGUAUGAGAGUAGAUCAUGAAGACCGGUACUAAUUCCUUUGUUUAUUUCAUUAAUGGUUAUGGAAUGACAUAAAUUUUGUGAUAUUGUUUGGUAUUAUUGUAUAUAUAAGAGGGUGAUUGGGACUGCCAAGCGAUCAACUAAGGGAGUCUGGACAGAGCAAAAGGUUAGAAAUUAAAGGUUCUUAUAGGGUUUAUGGCUUUCUGUUGUGUAGUUUUGGGUGUUGGGCUAGUUAUUUGAACAACUUUGAAAUGGGGUUGUGAUGAAUGGUUCUUUGCAUUUACUUGUUAUUUGAACUACUGUGAAAUGAAGAUUAGAUGAAUGACUUCAUAUGCGUUCUUUUUCCCCAUUAACAGGAUCAAGUAUUAGUCUAUGUUGUCAAAAAGUACAAUGGAAAUAACUGGAAAAAAAUUUGGUGCAUAUAACAUUAUUGCUUUCCACUCAUUAGGGUUCCUCAGUAGCAGAAUCUAUCUGAUUAGCUUUGUCAUUCAUAAAUAUGCCAGUAGCCGGGGCAUAAAUUAGUGUUAAUUAAGUUUUUCAGAAAAAAUUAUUUUUACAAUAUUUUUUAGGCUGGCCAAUUUCGCUCAGUCUGUUUCUUUCAACUGUCAAUUUGCGACAAACUUGUCACCUUGUGCAACCAAAUAUGUCACUGGCACAAUAGAGAAAUCUUCUCUUGUUUGUGUCUAAGCUUUUUUAAUAGCCUUUUAAUCCAGAUAGCUUCCUUACAAGCCUGUGUAGCUGCCAUGUACUUUGCUUCUGUUAUAGAUAGAGCCACAAUAGUUUGGAGUUUUGAAACCUAGCUCACAACUCCUCUUGUAAGUGUAAACAAAUAGCUCGUAGUAGAUUUAUUCUUAUCAAGAUAACCUGCAAAGUCUGAAUCAACAUAACUAAUACUUUGAUGUAUCUAAGGAUCCUCUUAACUAUAUUUCAAUGCUCUCUCCCCAAAUUUGCCAUGAAUCGACUUAUCACUCCCACUACUUGUGCAAUGUUUGGUUUUGUACAAAUCAUAGAAAACAUUUCCCAUUGCUGAUGCAUAUGGUGUUUGAGAUAGUUUCAUCCACUCCACUUUAUUACUAGGACUCAUACUUGAGGAUAAUUUGUAAUUUACAAGAAGUAAGGUAGAAACUGGUUUACAAUCAUGCAUGUUAAAACGAUGUAAGAAAAAUUUCAAGUAGCUUUUUUGUGAGAGUCAAAUCUUCUUGUUUUGUCUAUCUCGGCAAAUUUGCAUCCCUAGAAUUUUGUUUGUUGGUCCUAGAUCCUUCAUCUUAAAUAUCUUAGCCAAUUGUGCCUUUAAUUCUUGGACUCAAUCUUUGUUGGGGUUUUCAACCAACAUGUAAUCACGUAUAACAACAAAAUAAUAAAAUCAUCACCCUCAAACCUCUUGUAAUAUAUACAAUGAUAUGAAUUGAGUCUAUUGUACCCAAGGCUCAAUAUGAAGGAAUCAAAUCUCUUGUACCCACAUCUUGACACUUAUUUUAUACCAUACAAAGAUUUAGUUAAUCUGCAAACCAAGUUCUCUUUCUCAUUUUCUUCAAAGCCUUUCGGGCAUAUAAAUUUCUUCUUGAAACUCUCCAUGAAGAAACACAAUUUUCACAUCUAACUACUCAAAGUGUAAAUCCAAUCCAGCACACAUAGCUAAGACUACUCAAAUUGAUGUAAAUUGAACAAUCGGAGAAAAUCACUCAUUGAAAUCAAUACCUUCUUUCUAAGCAUAUUCUUUAACCACCAAUCUUGCACUAUACUUCUCCACUUGGUCAUUGCUAUCAUGUUUGAUCUUAUAGACCUACUUAUUUCCAAUAAUUUUUCUUCCAAGUGGUGGGGGCACAAAUUUCCAUGUCUGGUUCUUAUGCAAGGAUUUAACCUUCUAUUGCUUUGUUGUCAUCCAUAAAAAUGAAUAUGGACUGUUUAUGACCUCUUGAUAAUUUGAAGGCUCUUUAUCUUCUAAAGGAGACAAUAUGCAACAUUAAUUACUAUACCAAACUUUAAGUGCCAAGAAGGUUCUCUUCUUUCUUGGAUUGAUUACUGCACUUUAGGUGUCUAAACCUCAACUAGUAUUUGUUCAUUAUGCUUUGGAACUACUUCAAAAGGUUCUGGCUAUUCCUGUUCUGACUAUUUGUUUCCAAUGAAACUUAUAGUAUAUGUCUUCUUCAUUAGUGUGUUAUCUCAUUCUUCACUUUGUAACAUGUUUUCUAUAAAAAUGACAUCUCUACUGAUGAUAACAUUACAGGCAAUAGGAUCCCACAAACAAUAUCCCUUUACUUCAUUAGAAUACCCCAAGAAUAUGCAUUUUCUGGAUUUUGGAGCUAGCUUUGUUCUAUCUUGGUCAUUAUACAUCACAUAAGCAAAACACCUAAAUAUGUGUAAGAAGAAACUGUUUGUUGGCUUAUUAGUCCACAUCUCCAUAGGUGUCCUCAUCUCAAUUAUUGUUGAUGGAGAUUUAUUAAUUAUAUAGUAAGAAGUUUUGGCUACUUCAACCCAAAAUGUUUUGGGUAGUCCUACAAUCUUUAACAUAGCUCUCAUUAUUUCUACUAGAGUUCUAUUUGUUUGGUCUACUAUGUCAUUUUGUUGUGGAGUGUAAGCAAUAGUUUUCUAUCAUUGUAUGCCUUCUUAACUACAAAAUACAUCAAACUCCUGGUUACAAAAUUUUCCUUCAUCGUCUAUCCUCAAAUAUUUAAUAUUUUUUCUCCUUUCAAGCUCCCUCUACGCUUUAAAGGCUUUGAUUAGUGGAAAGACAUCUAACUUUUUGUUGAUGGGGUAAACCCAACAUCUUAUGGAGUAGUCAUUUACAAACAACACCAAAUGGUUUGUGCCCCUAGGAAAUAUGACCGGUGACUCCCAAACAUUAGAAUGAAUCAAGUCUAAAAUGCCCUUACUUCUUAUAAUAGAUCUACUAAAUCAUAAUGUGUUGCUUAUUGAUAACACAGUACUCACAAAAGGUUAUAGUUUUGAGUCCAAAAAGCAAUUUUUUAUCAAAGAGAAUUUUCAAUUCUUUUUCUGACAUGUGACCAAGUUUGUGAUGUCACCUUAUUGUCAAUUCUUCUCUAGAGUUUGCAACAGAAGUCUCCAUCUCUUUAUAUGUUCUCUCAUGCAACAUGUACAAAUUUACAGCAAUCUUAUCUACUUUCAUCAUCACAAGAGCACCUUUGAUAACCUUCAUGAUUCCCCUUUUAGCAUGGAAUUCAUAUCCAAGGUCAUCCAAUUGUCUCAUUGAUAGCAGAUUCUUCUUUAAGCCCUUCACAUGUCGUACUUCUAGAAUAAUGUGAAUCAUACCAUCAUCCAUCUUUACUUUGGUAAAGUUAAUGUCAACAAUAUCUAAGGCAUGAUUAUUACCCAUUUACACUAAUCCUCCUAAGAUAGCUAGGUUCAUAUUGGUGAAACCAUUCUCUAUAAGAAGUCAUGUGUAAUGUUGUUGUUGAGUUCAUUAACCAAACUCUAACAAAUCUUUGUCUUCUGCAAUUGUUGUUGCAUCACUGUACAAGAUUUUGUUUUCAACCAAAGUACUUAUUUCACAACUCUGAGUAUUUGAUGAUGCAAUUUUUUUCCUUUUCACGUUUUUCUCUACCCUUCCUUUGUAGUGUCAAUACUCUUUGAGAAAUUAAAGGUUAUGCUUAAAUAAGAAAAACACCCAAGAGGGGGGUGAAUUGGGUUUUUCAAAAACUUUUUCAACACAACAAAUUCAAGCACAAUAUAAUAAAAAAUAAAGAGAUAGAGUUAGAGAAUUCAAACUCAGAUUUUAUAGUGGUUCGGUACUUCCUUGCCUACAUCCACUAUGCUCAAUCUCCUAACCAAGUGAGGAUUCCACUAACUUGAAGCUUCAACCAAGCUUCCAAUCUUCUUACACUUAGAUUCCGGCUCCAAUUGGCUCUUGCACAAUCUCUUCAAGAUUCAAACCUCUUGAAGGCUUUAACACUCAGUUUUUACAAGAAUGAAUCCCUCAACCUAUCUCAAUGAUAUCUCAAAUACAAAACAAAGUUAGGAUGACUCACAAGGGUGCACUAAAAGAUAUGCAAGUGAGGAUUUAAUGCACUAAAAAGGAAAUGAGAGAUUUUAAGGCAAGAACAAGUAGGUAGACAAUUGAUUGCAAGUGUUCUCUCUGUCAUAAAUGAAGUGGAGCUAUCAAUUUAUAGGUUUCUAAGCUCGGGAGCCAAGAACAGCAAAAAGCAGCCUCAACCGGUCGAGCUGGGGGUCGACUGGUUCACUAGUCGUUGGAGCAUUUAAUGCUUUGGCAGGUUACCGUUGCUGUGGCAAGUUACCGUUGCCUCGACUAGACCUCGAUCGGGAAGAAGGGAACCUCAAUCGAGAAGGGAAGGCUACUGGAAGAGAGAGAGUGUUUUUUAUACUCCUCGACCAGACCUCGACCGGACAAGGGCAACCGGUCGAUCGGUUCCCUAACCGGUUGAGCCGGUUGGCCAGAGCCUCGAUAGGGAAAGAAGGAACCUCAACCGAAAAGAGAAGGCUACUAGAAGAGAGAGUGUGUUUUUGACACUCUUCGAUUGGACCUCGAUCGGGCAAAGGCAACCGGUCGAUCGGUUCCCCAAUCAGUUGAGCCGGUUAGCCAGAGCCUCGACCGAUUCAACCUUUUGGCCCUGAAAACCUAUCUUUUUCACUUCUUUUCUUAUAUAACACUUAGGCAAGGUCUUUAGGUAAAUUAAUAUGCCAAUUUUGAAACAUUUUGCCUAAGGUACAUUUGAUAAAACUUGGGUUUUAAUGAAAUUGCAACUUUAAAUAACAAAUCGAGUUUUCCAAAGAUGCAUAAAAAGAUAUGUAAACCCUAAGUGUACCCAUGCAUUCAUCUUACAUUUUUUUCCUAUGAUUAAAAGUCUUCUGAAAGUCUUGAUCUUGUAUUCAUUUGGUCAUUUGAUGAAUUUUUGAAUUUAUACCCGAGAUUCUUUACCAUUCAAACCAAUUAGUCACUCAACCAUGGUUUGCUAUCAUUAAAACCUGAUUAGGAGAACCCUUGGGCUAAUAAUCUCCCCCUUUUUUAUGAUGACAAACCUUGGUUAUCUAGGAAAAGGAAAAAAAUCUCCCCCUCAAACUAAUUAUGGAUCAAUCAAUAAAAAUUUAUGAAUGUAAAACCAAGAUAAUCAAGACAUGCAAAUUUUCUAGGAAACAAUGUAAAUCAUGAAAAUAGCAUAUCAUAUAUAUAUAGUAAAGUCAAAUGUACAUGAAACAUAAACAUAUAAGCUAAUCCAAACAUAUAUGACAAUGAUAUGCAUGUAGGUCUCCUAGAUCCUAGAUAUCUCUCCCCCUUUGGCAACAUAAAAAAGAAACGAAGGGGGUCUCAAUGAAAUCAAGGCUGAGAAGGUGGAGGUGGAAACAUGAAGCGGAGGUAAGCCAUCAUGUCCUCAUGCUGACUCUCCUGGUGACUCUCAAUGAACUCAAUCCUCUGCUGGAGAUGAUCAAAUGCAACCUGCAACUGAUCUAUGCGAUCUUCCAUACACUUAAAUCUCUGAUGCAGAUACUCAAACUGAGAAGUGAAGCUAGUCUGAUAUUGAUCCUUGCGAUCAUCCAUGGAGUAGAAUCGAUUAUCACUGACUACUGCAAGCUCUUCUAUGCUAGUGCCAAGUGAGCUGAUAUGAGUAGAUAAAUCCAUCCAAGGCGCAUGAUCAGGAGCAUGAAGUGUCUGAUGAGGUGAUGUCUCGGUGUGAGGAGGCUCGAUGAAGGAUGGCUGAGAAGAUGGUCCCACUGUGUAAGCCGACUCAGACAUCAUUAGCUCAGGGAAUGUGGCCUCAAACUGAACACCCUCAGACUGGAGUGGAGGGAUGUCAAGCUCGGGUUCUUUCUGCUCAAAGCCUCUUUGAGGAUUUAACCCACCAUCUAUCUCUCAGAUCUCGGUCUCCUCCUCUACUCUGGGAUGGACCUGCCCUUAUCCCUGGGCUUGUGUUGGUGGUCGCUCCACUCUCCUAACCCAGGAGCCAUCGAGGGCCUUCUCAAACUUCAUCCGCCCCAAAGACUACUCAUCAUAUGUAUCAUAAAUACUAGGGGCCUUGAAAUUUGUCUCUUUACUCAAAUCAACCCCAGCAUCCUUGAAUACUCGAGUGAGGAAGCGCUCAUAGGGGAGUACGCGGGUCGUGCUCUCGCAGCAUGAUAUCAUGUGCAUCAUCAUCAGAUAUCCCACGUGAAUCUGUCUCCCUGUUAGAAUGGAGUCUACGAGGAAUGCCUCAAUGUAGGAGACCUCAUCUCGAUGCCCGCCUUGUGGCAAUAAGAUGGAGCAUAUCAUGUGAUGAAGAACUCGAUUGAUCAGCAUAGUGAGCCAAGUCUUGGACUCAUAUACCCUGAGUCCAGAUGAAGGAAUUUCUAAAAUAUGGCAGAUGCUCUCUAGGUCCAACUGGAUCUCAACACCUCUAACGGUGGAAAUAAUCGGUCCACCAAGUCCAUAUGUCACUCUCAAAUAGAAUGUUCUCACUAAUGUUGAAAAAAUCGGCUCCGAAAUAGUCACUAUAGGCAGCCACCCCAUCCGUCCGAAAAGACAAAUUAAAAUCACUAAGUGUUUGUUUCAUCCAAAGAAUUUGUAACAACAUAAACCGACUGCUAUGUAUUUGGUUUCUGCCGUUGACAAAGGUAUCGAAUUUUGCUUCAUACUAUGCCAUGAAACAAGUGAGUGUCCUAGGAAAUGACAAGUGUCACUAGUGUUUUUUCUUUCAGCCUUAAAACCAGUAAAAUCGGCAUCCGAGAAUCCAAUCAAUUCAAAGUUAUCACUCUUAGGAUACCAUAAGUCUAUGUCCAUUAUCCCUUUCAAGUAUAUAAGAAUUCGUUUUACGUCACUUAAGUGGGAUUUUUUAGGACAAGAUUGAAAUCUAGCACACAAGCAUACACUAUACAUGAUGUCGGGUCUACUAGCGGUUAAAUAUAGCAAAGAACCUAUCAUGCCUCUAUACAUAGUUGAGUCAAUGGAUUUACCUUUCUCAUCCUUAUCAAGCUUGAUGGAUGAGCUCAUUGGAGUCUUCAUUGUUUUGGCUUCUUCCAUGUUGAACCUUUUGAGAAGAUUUCUUAUAUAUUUUGCUUGAUUGAUGAAGGUUUCUUCAUUUAGUUGCUUGAUUUGAAGUCCAAGUAAGAAGUUAAGUGAUCGCUCGGAUUGUUGUCAUUUAUUGGAUCAAAACAAAAUUUAUAACCUAAUUCACUAUUCUAUAGCAUAUUGUACCCGAUCAAAAAGUGGUUUUAGUACAAACUACUAUAGUAUAGUGGUUUUUAGGUAUCGUCCACAAGGAUGAAUUAUUCUUGGUAAUCAAGGCUUGAAUGAGAUGAGAAGAAAUGAUUGAGAUCAAGUGAAAAUGAUUUGACAAUUCAUGAUAAAAAUUCAAAAUGACAAUGAUUCCAAUUUGAGAGGAAAAUGAAAUGAAAAAUAGAAGAAAAUUAAUAGAAAAUGAAAUUCUCGGAGUUAGGAUUUUCUAGAAAACAAUUUCCAUGGUGAAUAGAUAUUGAGAUCUAAUUUUCAUCAAGUUAUAUUGAAAACCUAAAUUUCAUCUAAACCGAUUUUUGAUUUAGCUUUAGGUAUAGAUCUAAUUUCUCUUCAAAUUAGGUCAUUUAAUCCAAGAGAUCAAUUCAAAUCAUAUAUUCAAUUCAUCUUAAAUUAUCUUCCAAUGAUUCACACAAUAUAACUAUUCAAUCUCAUCAAAUUUAGUAUUAAGAAUUUGAUGAAUCUACCUAGUUUGCAUUGUAGUAAUCAUUCAAGACAAUUUGAAGAGAAAAAUCCCCAAAUUUCAAUUAAUCAAUCAAUUGGAUCAAAUUACCUUUGCAAUUCAAGCUCAUUUCUCUAAUUCACCAUAGAUCUUGCCUCUAGAUCCUUUCUCCUCCGAGAAAAAUGAGAUUUAGUCACUCAUGCUUGGAGAUUUGGUCUCACAAGGCAUGUUUGGCUAAUGAGAAAAUGAGAGAAAAUGAUAUCAAAUGAGAGAAAAUGAAGGAAAGUAGAAAAUUCCUUAAAGAGGAAAUCUGGAAAAUUCUACAAUUAGAAAAUGUAUAAAAGUCCCUAAAAUGAGUAAAUCAAGUUUCUAUUUUAGGCCAAAGUCAAGUGGACACUUGGCAUCAUCUAAGAGGUUUUUCAGAGUCUUAUUCACCAAGAAAUCUAGAAAAAGUGCAAUUUCACACGAGCUCCAAUAAUUUCGCACGAUUGUGCGAAGUGGAAAAUUCAUUAGCACCAUUUUCGCCUUCUUGGAACAUUUCGCAUGACUGUGCAAAAUUUUCGCAUGGUCAUGUGAAAUCAGUUUCCAUUUUUCCCUUUUGAGCUGCAGCCAAAAUCCUUUUUGUUUCAUUUCGCACGACUGUGCAAAUUUUCCUCAUGUUCAUGCGAAAUGGAAAAACAUAGUUUUUCAACUCCUUUUUGUCAUUUCUUCCAUUUCUUUCUUUUGAUUCCACUUCAACUACCUCCAAAUCAACUCCAAAUCCCAAUCCAAACCGAUUGUAUUGCUUUUUUCAUUAUGCAUUUGGAUCAUCGUCAACUUUAUUUGUUCUCUUCAAUUUGAUUCAUCUCUUUUGUCACCAAAUUAUCAAAAUCAUACCUUGAAAUGACUUCAAAACUUCAUAAAACUUCUUAGUAACUCUUGCAAGGGCAACAACAUGUUAAUUGAGUGUUUUAGACAUAAUUACUACUCAAAAGAUGUGAAACUCAUGAGAAUUAUUAUCUAUAAUAUGCUCUUUUUGAGUAGUAAUCAUUGAGUUCUCCCAUCAUGCUCAUUUCAAACUCACUAUGCAUGUACUUAGAAAAUUCUUCACAAAGAGAGACAUUAGUAGCUCCAAAAAUAAUAUCAUCAACAUAUAUUUGAACUAAGAGCAUGUCCUUUUCUUUGGUCUUUAUGAAAAGAUUUGUGUCAAUUUUUCCCAUUUUAAAACCCUUUUUCAGAAGAAAUUUGUUCAAUCUUUCAUAUCAUGCUCUUGGUGCUUGUUUCAAACCAUAAAGUGUCUUUUUAAGUUUAAAAACAUGAUUAGGAAAGUUAAAACUUUGAAAACCGGGUGGUUGUUCAACAUAUACUUCUUCAUUUAUAAAGCCAUUUAAGAAAGCACUUUUCACAUCCAUUUGAUAUAAAAUAAAGUCUUUAAAACAUGCAAAGACAAGUAGCAUCCUAAUGGCUUCAAAUCUAGCUACGGGGGCAAAGGUUUCUUCAUAAUCUAUCUCUUUUUCUUAAUUAAAACCCCGGGCUACCAAUCUUGCUUUAUUUCUAACAAUUAUGCCAUUUUCAUCCAUUUUAUUUCUAAAGACCCAUCUAGUUCCAAUAACACUUUGAUUUGAAGGUAUUGGCACUAAUUCUCAUACUUCACUUCUUUCAAAUUGAUUUAACUCUUCUUGCAUAGCAAUCAUCCAAUUUUCAUCAACUAAAGCAUCAUGUAUAUUUUUAGGUUCAAUUUGAGAGAUAAAAGCAAGAUUAUAGCAAAUAUUUCUAAGAGAUGAUCUAGUUCUUACCCCACUAGAUGAAUUACCUAUAAUUUGAUCUUGUGGGUGGUUGAUGACAAACUUCUAAUCUUUAGGAAGGUCUUGGCUUGAUUCACCUUGCACUUGUUGAGCAAGGGGUAGUGUCAAUGGUGAUUCUUCUUUCUUGGGAUCCUCUCCAAUUUCUUCUUGUUGCCUUCUAUCUUCAAUUUGGAAUUUUCCCAUGGAGGUCUCAAGCCUAAAUCAUCAUUAAAACUCUCUAUUUCUUGGAGAGAAUUGUUAGAUUCAUAAAAAAUAACAUGGAUGGACUCUUCUACAACCAUGGUUCUUUUGUUGAAAACUCUAAAGGCUUUACUUGAAGUUGAGUAACCAAGGAAAAUUCUAACAUCCAAUUUUGCAUCAAAUUUUCCAAGAUUUUCUUUGGUGUUUAAUAUAAAACAUUUGCACCCAAAGACUUUGAAAUAGCUAAUGUUGGAUUUCUUAUUUUUCCAAAGCUCAUAGGGAGUUUUCUUAAGAAUGGGCCUCAAUAAUAUUCUAUUUAAAACAUAACACGAAGUGUUGUUAACCACUUCGACCUAAAAAUAUUUUGGAAAAUUAUUUUCAUUUAGCAUGGUUCUAGUCAUUUCUUGAAGAUUUCUAUUUUUCCUUUCAUCUAUCCCAUUUUGUUGAGGAGUUUUAGGAGCCGAAAAAUUGUGGUUAAUACCAUGCUCAUUGUAAUAUUAUUCAAAAUAAAUAUUUUCAAAUUCUCUCCCAUGAUCACUUCUUAUAAAAGUAAUUGUUAAACCUUUUUCAUUUUGAAUCUUAUUGUAAAACUUUGAAAACUCAUAAAAGGCUUCAUUCUUUUGACUUAAAAACAAGACCCAUGUGUAUCUAAAGAAGUCAUCCACAAUAACAUAUGCAUAAGAUUUUCCUCCAACACUUGGUGUCCUAGAGAGACCAAAUAAAUCCAUAUGCAACAACUCAAGAGGCUUAGAGGUUGAAAUAAAAGUUUAUUUUUUAAAGAGUUUUUUAUUUGCUUUCCCAUUUGACAAGCUUCACAAACUUUGUCUUUUUGAAAAUUUAUUUUGGGAAAGUCUCUAACAAGUUCAUCUUUGUUGAGUUGGGAAAUGAGGUCCAUGUUAGCAUGUCCCAACCUCCUAUGCCACAACCAACUUUGAUCAUGCAUGCUUGAAAAGCAUCUAUCAUGGUCAUCAUAUUUUGAAAUAUUUAUAAUGUAAACAUUAUCACACCUAUGGCCCAUGAAGAUGGUUUUAUCAUUUUGAAUAUCCUUGAUGAUGCAAUGAUAUGCUUCAAAAAUAACUUUAAAACCUUUGUCACAAAGUUGACUAAUGCUUAAAAGGUUAUGUUUUAAACCAUCCACUAAUAAAACACUUUCAAUAAGAGAGGAUGUGCCAUUACCAAUGUUGCCUUGACCAAUGAUUCUUUCUUUUGCAUUGUCUCCAAAGGUAACAUAUCCUCCCUUUCUCUUUGUAAGAAAAGCAAACUUGGAUUCAUCUCGCAUCCACUAUCCAAGAACCACUUAUCCUUCUUUGAACCCUACUGUAGACCCUCUAUUUUGUCUUCCUCGCACAUGUCGUUUAUAGCAAUUCCCUGGUGGCCCAUUAAUACUCAUGUUAGCCUAUCUUUUCUAAGCCACCUCGGAGACUUUGGUUGAGGGAUUAUCUGACCUCUUAUUAUUACCCUUGGCAGCCCUAACUUAGACUUAGGCUUUUCUUGCUUUUUUUUUAGGAUAGCUUUUAGGCACCCUAGGCCCACUUAGGCACCCUAGGCCCAUUUAGGUAACCUUAGGCCAAUUUAGGCACCCUUGGCCCACUUAUGCACUCUAGGCCCAUUUAGGCACACUUGGCCCAUUAGUCAUUACCAUUAGGCCCAUUUAGAUCAUUUUUUGCAUGGAUACAUGGUUUGCAUGGCUUGCAUGGUUGCAUAGCUCAUAUGGCUUGCAUGUGCUUGAUUUUGUUUUUGUUUUUUUAUCUUUCUCUAUUUAUUAGUUUUAUUCAUUUAUUUACUUAUUUUUAGAAAAUUGCAUGAGCUUAAUAAUCAUAUUCAUUUCAUUUUUAUUUAUCUAUUUAUUAAUUUAUUUUGAUAAGGAAUUGCUUGAGUCAAUAAUUCGUUUUAGUUAUGCAUGUGAUCUAUAUUUUUAAUUUCUUUUAAAAUGACAUAGUUUGAAUUUUUAAUUAUCAGUCACAUUUUUUUUUAUUAUUACUCUAACCCUUAUUUUUUCUAUUUUUUUAUUUGUUAUAUUUUGUUUUGUUGCCCGGGAUUUUACAUACUCCAUAUUGAAAAAAAGAUUAUUAAAAAGAAUGAUUAUGGGAAGAAGAUUAGCAUGAUGAAGGUGGUCGGUGGAGUCAACAGGAUGAUUAUGGGAAGAAGAUUAAGAAGGCUAGGUUUUGGCAAGUGAAAGGAAAGAGGGUGCAGCACGUAUGUGGACAGGAAGUGAGGUUGUGUUCAAGAAAAAGAAAAAAAAAGUGGUCUAAAAAGGAAGAGUGCAGCCGCGUGAUUAAGGGGAAGAAAGAUCAUUUUCCGGGCUGGUGAGUUGUCUUCCCAUGUUGGCAGGGUACUAGAGAGGAAGAAAAAGAAAAGAAAAGGAGGAGAGACAGACGAUUGACUGAGAAAAAGAAGAAGAGAGGCUGUGAUUUUCAGAGAGAAUAGGAGUGAUCAGUCGGUGUCUUGAAGGGUGAGGCUGUGAUUUUCAGAGAGAGGAGAAGAGCGGGCUGCUGUUUUUCAAAGAGAUCAAUCCACGUUUAAAAGAGAUUGGAGGCUGCUAUUUAGAGAGAUGGAAUCCGUGUUUUGAAAGAAUUUUGGGGGACUGCUGUUUGAGGAGGGAGUCCAGGUUUUAGAGGGGAUUCGGGCUGCUGUUUUGGAACGGAGAGACACAACUGCUUGUUGAUAUUCAUUGGCUACUCACCCUGCCAUGGUGAAGAUGAAUACAUACCUACCUUGUUGAAUCUGAAGAUGAGAGGGUGCAGUUGCACCAUUCUGGGACGUGAGGAGAACCAUUGAGAAAGAAAGUGGAGGCAACCGCACCAUGCAUUGAAGGAGCCGCACCAUGCACUGAGAUUUCAUUCCUCUCCAAAGGUACCCACACGGCUGCAAGUUGAAGAGGAACUCACCAUAGCCGCACCAUGCAUCGAGAACCAGUCGCACCACUCCUUUGAAGGAAGAUUCAACACACAUCUCCACGUAAAGGAGAUCCAUUCACACGGCUGCCACUUAGAGAAAUAAACAAUCCGCGUACCUACAGAGCCUCCACGGGGAGCAUUUUCAGCAUCAUCGCACCUUUGAGAGAACUUCUGGAACAGCCGCGUCUUUGAGGAACUUUUAGCCAUCAUCCGCACCUUUGAGAGAACUUUUGGAACAGCUACAUCUUUGAGGAACUUUCAGCAUCACCCGCACCUUGAGAACUUCUGGAACAGCCGCAUCUUUGAGGAACUUUCCUCUACAGCCACAUCAUUGGGAGACGAGAGAGGAAUCAGCCACACCCAUCCAGACUUGCUCCUAUAACUUCACAGCCGGCUAGCACCAAGCACAGUACACCUAUCCGGUUGGGUGAGUUUAUCUCUUAUUUUUUUAAUCCAUCAAUACAACAUGUUAAAGGUUCAUUAUGAAUUUAUUGUUAUGCCAUUAAGAGUCAUUGUUAAACUUGAGAUAUUUAUAUCUAUAGGUUAACUACUUAUCCAUUUAUUAAUAAGAUUUAUGUUAUAGGUUAGAGACAUAGUUCUAAAACUUGUCUUAGAUAAUUUUUCUUUAAUUUAAUUUUUGAUUUACGCGAGAUUUGUGUGCGUUAAAAUAGUUAAUAUUAAGUGGUAAAUAUUUGAUUUUAGGAUUGCCAUAAUUGGUGUUAAAAAUAUUUUUAAACUUAGAUUUCAUUUUAGUAAUGUAAAUUUAUUUGAAACUGUUGAUCCUAUGAGUUCAUAUUUCGUUUUAGUCAUACUUAUUUAUUGUGUUAUCUAUUUAUCCAUUUGUUAAUGAGAUUGAUUUUAUAGUUUAGUUUUAAAAUUUGUUUUGGAUAGUUUUUUUUAAUUUAAUUUUAGGUUUAAGUAAAAUUUUAGUUUGUUAAGAUAAUUGACCUCAUGUGUUAAAUAUAUGAUUUUUAGAUUUGCCUAAAUUAGCGUUUAUUUUUUUAUUUUUUUAUUUUUUUUGAGUUUAGAUUUCAUUUUAAUAAUGUAAAUUGAUUUAAAAAGGAAGUUGAUUCCAUGAAUUCAUAUUUUGGUUUUUAGUUUGCUUUCAUUUUAUUUGAUUCAUUUUAAUUAUUUUGGUGUUUUUUUUUAUAAUUCGAAGUUAUCAAUAAAAUCAAUUCCACAUUUAGAAGGUGCCUAUGCUUAGUAUACUCUGAUUUAAUUUCACUCAUCCAUUCAGUUUAGGUAUUUUCUAUAAUAUUAGCUCACUAAUAAAGUUAAUUCUAUGAUUGACAAUUUAUUAUUUGCUUUGAUUUAAUUUGGCUCAUUUUAAUCAAUUUAGAUGUGUUCUUGUGUUUAAUUGAUCUCAUGCUAAUUCUUGAUUGUUAUUCUUAAUGGAUGUGUUUCUUGAAUAUUCAUCAUUAAUUCUUGGUGGGUAUCUCGUUAGCUUAUUUGAUCUAAGUUUGAAUAGUUUAUUGCUUUGGUAGUCUCUAGUAAAAUUUACUUUUCAGAGGCUAUCGGAAAAUAGUGAAGAUUGACCUCCAUUCCCACCACUUCAAUUUUAUCGGUUGUCAAAAAUUCUACUUUGUGAUUUUGUUCUUUUUUUUCUUUUGCUUGGUAUUUUGAUUCAUACAUUUUAUUGUUUUCAAAUUAACUUCUUUUAUCUUUAAAACAUAACAAUAUUCUCAAAAUCUCGUUUCCUUAAAAACAAACCAUUUCAAAAAUUCAUUUAGAGUUCUCAGAAUCAAAAUCCCAUUCCCUUUAAAAAUUCAUUUCAAAGAUUCCUUUAGGAUUCUUAAAAUCAAAACCCUAUUUUCUUAAAAUAAUAUGCAACCAUUUUUUUGAUUGGUUUGCAUCUUUCUCAGUUUUUAACGAAAAUUUUGGUUUGAAAUCAGACUCGAAUCAAAGCUUGUGGUCCCACAUAAAUGGGAUAAUUUUGAGCUAAAUUCGUGUAUAUCAAUUGGGGAAUUGGUGAAACCCCUACAUAAAAAAAUCUUUUCAAAAAGUAUUUUUGUUGCCACUUUUGUCACUUGUUGAAAUUAUGUCUAUUUUUUUUUUUUUUAGGAAUUGUAUACAAGAUGAGUGUGAUAAUUAGUGUUUUCAUAUACUUUGAUAAUUUCUGCUAUGCUAAUUAGAUAACGAGCAUGCUAGGAUUCCUAUAUUCUAUUAUUUAUUAUCUAACCCCUCAUGUCUUAUGGAAGCGCAUUGUAAGUCAUCUAUGUUAUCCAGGUACGUAUCACCUACUUUCUAAAUUUUGUAAACAAUCAUGUCACUGUGAAAUAUGCAUAUGUUUGAUAAUCCUUAGGUGCUUAGAUGUAUGCUAGAUUCGCUAUGAUUAAAUACAUGUUGUGUGCUAUACUUCUAUACUAUCUCUCAUGUUUUAUGAUAGCGCUUGGGAAGCCAUCCAGGUACGCAUCCUUAACUUUCCUUCAUUGUUAUUUGAUCUUGUUAGGCAUGCAAUAUUCGAAAUCAUCUAGUCUACUUAGGUAUCCAUAAUUAACUGAUUAAUGGCCACACUUCCCUUAACUUUGUCAGUAGAGACCUUUAUAGGGCUUAGAGGGGUGCUACCUUUCAAAGGUACCUUCCCAAUAGGUAACCUGAUCCCCGGACUUAACUCGGGUUUUUCAAGGACACGCUUUUCCAAAAAUUAUGGAGUCAUUUUUUUUAGGGUUUUAUUUCUUGUUUUAUUUUCCCUUCAAAAAUAAAAAUAAAAUAAGUGGCGACUCCAACUUUUUUCAAAAAUCAAUUUCUCACAAACAAAAAGCGAGUCUCGCCGAUCGAGUGGGGGCGCACGUGAAAAAUGCGGAACCACACCUACAAAAUAAAAUUCAAGUAGAUUUAGGUACCCAUAUGAUUCGUCCCUAGCAGCGGCAGUGGCAAUGGCACCAUCUGAUUCGGGGUUCGAUCCUCGGCAACGGCGCCAUUUGAUUCGUGCCCAAUUGGUGUCUCAGCUGAUUUGUGUCCAGCUGGUGCUCCUUGAUUGAGGGAGUAAUCAACAAAAUUUAUAAUCUAUAACACCAUAUACUAGGGUAGCAAAGAAAAAGCUACUAUAGUAUAGUGGCUCUAGGAUCGUUCACUGGGAUGGGUUUUCACUUUACAAAUGAUAUCAAUUCAAAGCUGAAUUGGUGCCUUUUCAUUUCAAGGUUAGCUUUAAAAGAAAACAUAAAGAUGUUUGAAAGAAAAGAAUUUGGUUUUAAACUAACCAAAAGUAGUAACUGAUUUUACUUAUAAAGAAAGAUGUUUCUUGGAGUUCAGAUCACUAGGCUCAGAUUCCUCAUACAAAAAGGGAGUUCCGGUCACUUGUUUAUUUUCCUCGCAUUAGAGAAUUAACAUAUAGUUAAUUCUCUAACCGGUAUUGUACAGAUGCUUCCCAUUAAUGGGUUCAAACACUAAAUCCCUCUCACUGAUGCAACUUGCAAUGGUUCAUGCCUCUCACCUAGCACUUGCCAUUCAAGGUGAUCUUUAACCUUGGAUUACCCGUCAAAAGCUCGCAAGAGAUAACUAAUGGAUGUCUCCUUGGAGUCCAAAAGCUUACCAAGUGUUGGCUAUUCUAGAAAAUCCUACCUUCAAGUCACCUCCCAAAGGCUCGCAAGGGGUAAACUAGUGCAUUUCCAUGGUUGGAAAUCACUUGCCUUACCAAGUGUUGGCCCAGGUGACUCUAAGGUGUUUUAAGUUAACUAAAAACAUAGAAAUCACUAACGGGUUACACUUUCUCUUCAUUAAAAACUAAAACAACAAAACUUCCCAAUUAUGCAUGUGGAAACUUACCCGGCUUUCCUCACUCCAAGAGACAAAAAGCUUAGCCUCUCAUCCUCUGUGGAAAAAUCCUCAGAGUUUGGUUGGCUAGAAAAUGAAAAUGAAAGAGAAGACAAGAAUAUAUAUCAAAAACAGAGCAAGUGCUCUGUUCGUUGAUUCUAUAUAUUGGAUUACAUAUAUGAUCCUCCUCUUUUACAGUGGAUGCAAGGGAAUAUAUAUAGAGGAGUUUUUCCAACCUUCCCAACUAAGAAAUCUUAUGGUUGGUGGAUUACAAGGAGAAGAAUGGAAAUUUAUACAAAAAUAUCUGAAGAAAAAUAUCCAAAAGAGUCGGUGCACAAAUAUCAAGAAGCACUAAGGACAUUUCGCAGGUGAAAAUGGUGUCUGCGAGAUUUCGCAGACACUCAAGAGGGCUGCGAAAUAUUUUCGCAACAACAAGUUAAACUCGCAGGGCUGCGAAAUUGGCUUCCACCUUGAGGUUCUCAGCGUUCCAGCUUGCGGCAUGUAUCGGGUAGCUUCAGGAGGAAUUCCAUAGCACUGUACAAAAAGGCUGCGAAAUUCUCGCAACAAAAGGCUGAUUUCGCAACACUUUGGAGUGAUCUGCUUGCAAUGGCUGUAACUCCUUCGUUUCAACUCCGAAUCGUGCACCGUUUGAAGCAUUCGAUUCUUGACUUCCUGAGCUUUGAAAUGGUAUAUAGAAUGUAGAAAAUGGACUUCGGAAAGUGCUCCAAAAGUGCGCAAGAAGACUGCAGCUAGCUUUCCUCUGUUUUCUUCACUAUGUUUUUCCUCUCUCCUUGCUUCUCUCCUUGCAUACUUUGAACGACUUUGGCAAAGGGCUAUGGAGCUCCAAAGCUUGGUUCUUCUUGAAUUUGAGCUCUUCAUUGCUUUGCCAUGGAUUCCAAAUAACUCUCCUCAAUCUUGGAUUGUUUUGGUGAUCAAAUUACUAACAAAAACACCAAAACUUACACAAUUUGAUUAGAAAUGAUUGCAAGGGUCCUUAACAUGUUAAUUGGGUUAAAAGGCAAUAACUACUACUCAAAAGUGUUUAAAAGGAUUAAUUACAAGCUACAAAAUAGCACUUUUUGAGUAGUAAUCACUCCCCCCAACCGACAUAUUGCUAGUCCCUUAGCAAUGGAGGAGAUAAAAACUAAGUAAACUAUAAUAAUAUACAUAAAAGGGAUCAUGCAAAUCACUCCAAAAAAUGAUAUGAGUGGCAUGAUGGACAUCCAUGGAUCAAUAAAGAUGUAAAACUCAACCUAUAAUUAGAGUUGUCAAAGCAUUCACUUGAUCAUAGAGUACAAAGAAUGGAUAUUAUGCAAGUUUAAGCAUCAAAAGAAUUUCCACUCUCAAAAGAUCCAAAUCACAUUCUUCCACUAAAAGCUAAGUGUUAAUGUGAUUAGCUUCCAAGUAUAGUAUGGAUAACUAUCAUCUCCCCCCAACCUAAGUCUUUCUUUAAGCUUAGCAAAAUUAACCAUCUCUUGAUAGGCUAGGAACGCACCUCUUAUUCACAAUUCUUUUCACUUACUAAACUUAACCAAUUCACCCAUGUAACAAGCAGAGGAUCGGUGACUCCCAACCAAUAAAGGCUUAGGGCACCAGGCUUUAAAGGCUUUCGCCACCCCUUCGGACCAUGCUCAGGUUUCAAGGCAAGUAAAGAAGUUUAUUCUAUUUUUUUUUUCUUUUUCUUUUUCUUUUUCUUUUUCUUUUUCUACAAAGACUCAUUGGUCUUUAUGAGGUGUCCCAACACUAUUAAAGAGAGGUUAAAGGUGUCAAAUUAUGAUUUCUCAAGCUUAGAGGGUGAGAUAGUUUCACAUCUUAUAACCGGAAUCUAAUGUAUGUGUGUGCGAAUAGCUUAAGGUGGAAGAGAUAAGUUUGCAUGCAAUGGAGUUUCAACAAUUCAUCAACUUUUAAAAGAGCAUAAUACAAACUCUAAGACUCCUGUAAUCAAGUUGAAACUCGACUUCUCUCAUUUAAUUUUUGAGAGUUAAUCCUUAAUAUCCAUGGAGUUUAAAGCAAAAAUUUUAAAAUUUAAGCAAAAAGCAACUAAAUUACCAAAAUAACUUAGCAUUAUUAACAAUACUUACUUCCUCAACUCUCCCCCCAACCAAGCUGAACAUUGUCCUCAAUGUGACAAAAGCGAUUAAAAAAUAGGGAGGAAGUGGUACCUCCUGAGUGACAUGGAGUUUGAGUCGUGUAGGAGAAACCACAUGUUUCAAAGAAAACAUAAGAGUUAGUGAGUAGAGGAAAUAGAAAAAUGUUAAGUUUAAACAAAAAAAAUGAUGUCUAUGUAUGAUGUAUCAUCAGUAAUACAUCCAAUUCUAGAAUAUAAGACAUCAAAACAUGGAAUUAUGUAUACUAAUAUAAUAUGUAAAGACAAAAAUUAAAGAGAUGAUCAAGUAAUGGUAAGGUCCUGUGGAGCUGAUGUGUCUGUGAUGGCCUCUUGAGUGGGUUGGAUCAAAACUUUGGCCUCUAUUCUGGUAGUCUCCUUAGGUGGCAUAGUCUCCUCAACUAGAGCUCUCAGUUGGUAGCUAUGGGAUUUGAUGGUUUAAGGAGGUCAGUAAUGGAGUGAGAGGCUUGGUGUGUGUGAUCUCAAGGUGCUCGGGGCUCUCCUCUUCAGAUGCAUGGUCGCAGGGCUCUGUUGGCAUUUUAGCAACUUCCCUUGGCUUUGCAAAGUGUUUUUGCAAAUCACCCUCCAUUUCACAAGUCAAUUUCGCAAUUUGAAGGCCAUUUCUAAGCUUGGAGGUGAUUUCGCAACCAUUUCGAAGCUUGGAGAUCAUUUCGCAGAAAAGUGGCAUGUUCACAGACCAUUUUUGAAGCUUGGAGCUCAUUUCAUAGCCAUUUCGCAGCUCAAAAGUGAUUUCGCAGCCCAAAAUUGAUUUCGUAGUUCAUUUCGCAGCUUCAAAAUGAGGAGAACUGUGCUGCAAAAUGGCACUCGUGUGCCAAAGUUGGUUUCGCAGCUGCGAAACACCCUUCCAAAUGGUGUCUCGGCUGCGAAAUUCUCGCUCAGCUUUGUGCGCUUGUCUUCAAACGACCAUAACUUCUUCAUUUCACCUCCAAAUUGUGCACCGUUUGAAGCUCUGGACUUCUGACUUCCCAAGCUUUGAAACAAGAUAUUGUAUGCAUAAUUUGAGCUCCAGGAAGUGCUUCAAAAAUGUGUCCAACAGUAGCGAAAUGGAGGUGCGACAUUUCCGUUCAUGGUUUGCAUAGUCAUCUUCAAACAGCCAUAACUUUUCCGUUUCAAAUCCAAAUCUAGUACCGUUUGAAGCUAUGGACUCAUGACUUCCCAAGCUUUCAAAAGAGAUAUUGCACGCAUAAUUUGAACUUCGGUAAGUGAUCGAAAUGUUUCCAACAGUUGCCGAAAUGGGGGUGCGGCUGUGAAAUUGGGAUUUUUCACAUUUUGGAACUUCGCAGCCGUUUCGCAGCUGCGAAAUGAGAGUCACUGUGCUGCGAAAUGGCACUCAUGUGCCAAAACCAGCUUCGCAAUUGCGAAAUACCCUGCGGAAUGGGACUUUUGGUGCGAAAUCAGGCUUUACCACUUCGCAAUGCGUUUCGCAGCUGCGAAAUGGAUGCUCCUGUGCUGCGAAGUGGCACUCGUGUGCCAAAAUGGGUUUCGCAGCUGCGAAAAUUUUCGCAGAGACUUCUACAGUGUUGCGGAAUGGUUUGGCAACAAAAUGCCAAUUUCGCAGAGGCUGCGAAAUCUCGCAGACCCUUGUUUUUCCCCUGUUUUCGCUCCGUUUGACUCCAAUUUUGCUCCGAUUUUGCUCCGAUUUUUUUUCUUCAAUUUCUUUGCAAUUCCUCUUGAUUUUGAUCAUCCAAAAACCUAUAUUACAUCAAAACAAACUAGAAUUAAAGCAUUGAAAUCAAAAUUAAAGCAUUGAAAUCAAAAUUAAAACAAGAAAAAAAACAAAACAAAAAGAUAUGGACUAGCUAGUCUUUAAAAAGACUAAGUCCAUCAAAAAAUUUGCUCCUGAUUUAGCUUGCCCGGAUCCCAAAUGAAGUUUGCAUCCUUCAAUUGAGACUUGGUUUGUAUGAUUUUCCCAGACAAAGCUUGGAGAAAAGGUGGAGGCAUGUGUUUCUUCAUCAAUUCUUCCUUGAUGACUAUCCUCUGUGGUUCUCUCUGUACAUUAACAUCAUAGCCAUCUUUCUCUAUGCUUUUCCCCUUUUUCUUUCCUUUGAUUUCCUCCCUCUUUUCUUUCUCUGUUUCACUCUCUACCUUAUGCUCUAGCUUGCAUGUGGGCAAAUCAACCUCUUUACCACUCCUCAGAGUGAUCACUUCCUUGACUUCCCUCUUUUGUGAAGGUUCUCCCUCCUCAACCUCCAUUUCAUGGAUACUCAUGGAAUUUUGAUAAGGUUGAGAAGGAGAGUUUUCUUCCUCUUGCAUUGUGUUGAGGUUGGCAAGCCUUGAGAUUGAAUCUUGGAGAAUAUCUAACUUUUGGGCCAUAUCAUUUUGCAUUUCAUCCAUCCUUUUAUUCAAAGUACUCUCCAUACUGUCAAUUCUUUGAUUGAUUUGAGCAUUGAUGGCUUCUUGCUUUUCAAUAAAAUCUCCCACGACCUUGCAAAGAUUCACCAUAGUUUGUUCAAGGUUUGAGGCUUGCUGUGGUGCUUGAGCAGGUUGCUGAUACUGAGGUGGCUGUGGUUUCCAAGAGAAAUUUGGAUGGUCCCUCCAAUUGGAAUUGUAAGUGUUGCAAUCACCUAACAUUUCCCUCUCGGCUGGAAUGGUAGGACACUCUUCCACCAAGUGCUCAUAUGAUAGACAAAUGGCACAAGGCAUAGCUUGCAAUGGUGUCUGAGAGAUGGCUUGCACUUCUUGCAUCUGGUUCAUUUCUAGCUCAUCCAAUCUCCUUUCCAUAGCUGCAAUCUCUGCCUUCAUGUCUAUGCCAUCAUUCAAAAUAUACAUCUCACCCUUAGCAUUAGGUUGAGACGUCAUUCUUCCCAUAUCUCUAGCAUUUGGUUCAUCCCAUCCUCUUGAGACUUCAGCCACAUAACCCAUGAAGUUCAUGGCUUCCUCUGCUAUCUCGUAUUCAAUAUGGCAUGCACAACUAGCAACUUGUGAAUUAAAAACAGAGAACACAAAAGAAAACAAAAGAAAAACAAUUCAAAGAAAGAAAAUUAAGGUAAACUAAAAACUAAAUAAAAGGUAUACUAAAAUAUGAACAAUAAAGAAAUAAAAAGAGUUAGUAAAAGGAAAAGAAAAGUCACCAAACUUGUGAUGAAGAUCACAAGUACUCUAAAAGGGUGAUAUCACUGUAAAGUGGCACCAUCCCCGGCAACGGCGCCAUUUGAUUCGUCCCUAGCAGCGGCACUGGCAAUGGCACCAUCUGAUUCGGGGUUCGAUCCCCGGCAACGGCGCCAUUUGAUUCGUCCCUAGCAGCGGCAGUGGCAAUGGCACCAUCUGAUUCGGGGUUCGAUCCUCGGCAACGGCGCCAUUUGAUUCGUGCCCAAUUGGUGUCUCAACUGAUUUGUGUCCAGCUGGUGCUCCUUGAUUGAGGGAGUAAUCAACAAAAUUUAUAAUCUAUAACACCAUAUACUAGGGUAGCAAAGAAAAAGCUACUAUAGUAUAGUGGCUCUAGGAUCGUUCACUGGGAUGGGUUUUCACUUUACAAAUGAUAUCAAUUCAAAGCUGAAUUGGUGCCUUUUCAUUUCAAGGUUAGCUUUAAAAGAAAACAUAAAGAUGUUUGAAAGAAAAGAAUUUGGUUUUAAACUAACCAAAAGUAGUAACUGAUUUUACUUAUAAAGAAAGAUGUUUCUUGGAGUUCAGAUCACUAGGCUCAGAUUCCUCAUACAAAAAGGGAGUUCCGGUCACUUGUUUAUUUUCCUCGCAUUAGAGAAUUAACAUAUAGUUAAUUCUCUAACCGGUAUUGUACAGAUGCUUCCCAUUAAUGGGUUCAAACACUAAAUCCCUCUCACUGAUGCAACUUGCAAUGGUUCAUGCCNNNNNNNNNNNNNNNNNNNNNNNNNNNNNNNNNNNNNNNNNNNNNNNNNNNNNNNNNNNNNNNNNNNNNNNNNNNNNNNNNNNNNNNNNNNNNNNNNNNNUAUCUAGAAAUCUACUUCAAGUCACUCCAAAGCUCGCAAGGGGUAAACUAGUGCAUUUCCAUGGUUGGAAAUCACUUGCCUUACCAAGUGUUGGCCCAGGUGACUCUAAGGUGUUUUAAGUUAACUAAAAACAUAGAAAUCACUAACGGGUUACACUUUCUCUUCAUUAAAAACUAAAACAACAAAACUUCCCAAUUAUGCAUGUGGAAACUUACCCGGCUUUCCUCACUCCAAGAGACAAAAAGCUUAGCCUCUCAUCCUCUGUGGAAAAAUCCUCAGAGUUUGGUUGGCUAGAAAAUGAAAAUGAAAGAGAAGACAAGAAUAUAUAUCAAAAACAGAGCAAGUGCUCUGUUCGUUGAUUCUAUAUAUUGGAUUACAUAUAUGAUCCUCCUCUUUUACAGUGGAUGCAAGGAAAUAUAUAUAGAGGAGUUUUUCCAACCUUCCCAACUAAGAAAUCUUAUGGUUGGUGGAUUACAAGGAGAAGAAUGGAAAUUUAUACAAAAAUAUCUGAAGAAAAAUAUCCAAAAGAGUCGGUGUACAAAUAUCAGGAAGCACUAAGGACAUUUCGCAGGUGAAAAUGGUGUCUGCGAGAUUUCGCAGACACUCAAGAGGGCUGCGAAAUAUUUUCGCAACAACAAGUUAAACUCGCAGGGCUGCGAAAUUGGCUUCCACCUUGAGGUUCUCAGCGUUCCAGCUUGCGGCAUGUAUCGGGUAGCUUCAGGAGGAAUUCCAUAGCACUGUACAAAAAGGCUGCGAAAUUCUCGCAACAAAAGGCUGAUUUCGCAACACUUUGGAGUGAUCUGCUUGCAAUGGCUGUAACUCCUUCGUUUCAACUCCGAAUCGCGCACCGUUUGAAGCAUUGGAUUCUUGACUUCCUGAGCUUUGAAAUGGUAUAUAGAAUUUAGAAAAUGGACUUCGGGAAGUGCUCCAAAAGUGCGCAAGAAGACUGCAGCUAGCUUUCCUCUGUUUUCUUCACUAUGUUUUUCCUCUCUUCUUGCUUCUCUCCUUGCAUACUUUGAACGACUUUGGCAAAGGGCUAUGGAGCUCCAAAGCUUGGUUCUUCUUGAAUUUGAGCUCUUCAUUGCUUUGCCAUGGAUUCCAAAUAACUCUCCUCAAUCUUGGAUUGUUUUGGUGAUCAAAUUACUAACAAAAACACCAAAACUUACACAAUUUGAUUAGAAAUGAUUGCAAGGGUCCUUAACAUGUUAAUUGGGUUAAAAGGCAAUAACUACUACUCAAAAGUGUUUAAAAGGAUUAAUUACAAGCUACAAAAUAGCACUUUUUGAGUAGUAAUCACCAUAUCUUUUUAGGUCCUUAAGGGUUAGUGACCUUGGAUUUUUCAAUCCAAAUCUUUUUAGGUUUUGCAUUUGACGCAUCCACUAUCGAAGAACCACUUAUCCUUCUUUGAACCCUACAAAAUAAAAUUCAAGUUGAUUUAGGUACCCAUAUCUUUUUAGGUCCUUAAGGGUUAGUGACCUUGGAUUUUUCAAUCCAAACAUUUUUAGCUUUUGCAUUUGAAUUCUUUUGAGAAUCAUUUUUUAAGGGGCAUGUACAACUAAUGUACCCUCCUCUUCCACAAAAGUUGCAAGUUGUAGAAGGACUUGCACUUGAGGAUUGUUUUACAAAGUAGUUUUUAAAAUACUUUUGAUUUUUUGAAGAUUUGAAUCUUAGCCUUUGUUUGUCAAAAACACAUUUUUGGCUAGCUAUAAUCAUUUCGAAAGAUUUUUGUCCACAAGAGAAGAUUGAAAGAGAGGAUGUCAACCAUUCAUUUUUAUUUUUCAAAAUCUCAUUUUCAUUUCUCAAAAUCUCAUUUUCUUUUUCAAGAUGAUUUUUAUAAAUUUCAACAAUUGAAAUUUUUUAUUUUACUUCUUCAAGUUCUUUUUCAAGUUCUUGAAUUUUCUUUUUAAGAGAAUUAUUUUUCAAACUAAGUUUUUCAAAAUCCUCAUAUAAUUCUUCAAAAACAUCCUGCAUAUCUUCAUCACUAAAGUUAGAGUUUACCUCAUCAAGUUCAUUUAUUGCCAUGAAGUACAUGUUUGCCACUUCUUUAUCCUUUUCUUCUUCAGAGGAUUCUUCACUUUCACUCUAAGUGACUAUCAUUGUCUUUUUCAUUCUUCUCUUGGCUUCACUUUUGUAGAGAGGACAAUCAUAUUUAAUGUGUCCCGAUUUUUUGCAUUUGAAACACACCAAAUAUCUUUUCUCUUCCUAUUUCUCCUUGUCACCAUGAGAUGAAGAUUCCUUUUUAGAAAGGUCUCUUCUAGAGGUGAACUUUCUUCCUCUAAACCUUUCGUCCCUCAUGUAUUUAUUGAGCUUUCUUAUGAUGAGGGCUAAAUCAUCAUCUUCUUCACUUGGUUUUUCUUCUUUAACAUCUUCUUUUUUCUUAGUUGUAGCUUUGAAAGUUAUGUUCUUCUUCUUUUUGUCUUCUCCAUCUUGUAGCUUCUUUGCCAAAUUGAUCUCAUAUGUCAUUAAUGACCCUAUGAGCUCCUCCAUAGGUAACUUGGUCAAGUCUUUUGCUUCUUGAAUUGUAGUGACCUUUGUAUGCCACUUUGAUGGGAAUGACCUCAAUAUCUUCAUCACCUUUUCGGAUUCCUUGCAGGUCUUUCCCAAUGCUUCAAGACCAUUGACAAUGUCAGUGAACCUGGUGAUCAUCUCAACAAUAGUCUCAUUUUCUUUUAUAAAAAACAAUUCAUAGUUAUGAACAAGUAUAUUUAUUUUUUACUAUUUCACUUGAUUUGUUCAUUUAUGAGUUAUUUCAAGAAAUCUCCAAAUUUCUUUAGCCGAUUUACAUUGACAUAUUCUAUUAUAUUCAUUUUUAUCCAUAGCACAUUGCAAAGUAAAAAUGGCCUUAGCAUUUAAUUGAAAAUUUCUUCUAUCAAACUCAUUCCAUUCUUGCUUGGGUUUUGGAACCAAGACUCCAUCAACUAGUUUUGUAGGAAAAGUUGGGUCAUCUUCAAUGACAUCUCAUACGUCUAAAUCGGUUGAUUGUAAAUACCAAGUUGUAGACCCUCCAUUUUGUCCCUUUAGCACAUGUCUUUAAGUUCACUUUCAGUAUUCCACAAUGUUUCUUUGAUGGCCCAUUACUACUCGUGUAACUUACCUUUUCUAAGCCACUUUGGAGACUUUGGUUGAAGGGUUUAUCCGGUUCCACAUUACGACCUUGCCUACCCUUCAAGUUUAGACUAGGCUUCACUUAGAUACACUUGGCCCAUUAGGCACCACCUUAGGCCCACUUAGAUUCACCCUGACCUACUUAGAUCCACCUAGACACCUUCUAAAUUGCACACAUUCACCUUAGGUCACUUAGGUCACUUAGGCACCUUUUCAUAAUAGGUCACUUGGACACUUCUUUUGGCAUGGUCCACUUAGGCGUGUUCUUGAUUUUGGUUACUUCCUUUUCUGAGAUAAGAUGAGUAUUGGGUUGACUACAUAUUGCAUGAAAUGAAUAUUUUUUAUUUUUGGGGGUUUGAGUUUGACACUUAAAUUGUUCUGAUCCAUCGCAUUAAUUUAAUUUCUUGUUUUUUUCUAAUUGCAUACAUCUAAUAUUUAUUUUUGUUACCCUUAUCAAUUUAUUUGUCUAUUUACUCACCUAUUUAUACAUUUUUUAAUUCCAAUUAAUUAACAUCUUAGAUUUUUUGUGGCAUGUGAUUUGAUUUUCGAUUUUUAUUUUAUUUUAUUUCCAAUCACAGGAUUUUCUUAUUUCCAUUUUAUUUUUUAAUUUUGCAUGUCAUUUGGAGUGGUCAAGGAGAGGAGGUCACAGCUAAAGAAGAGCAGCCUGCAAGGUGGAAGGACCCACAUACACUCGCAGAGAAAACAAAAACGGAAGCCAUUUAGCCUUUUUUUUUUCUUUUUCUUUUUAUUACUUCCUUUUUUCUUUAUAUAGGAUGGGUGCCAAUUCUCGUUUUGAUUCCAUUUAUUCUCUCUAUUCAUUUCUCCUGGAAUGACCCAACUUCUUCGCUACAUCUCUCUCUCGUGAAGGGUUCAAGGUUUUCUUCGCUACUUCAGAUCUUGCAGCAGCUCGAAUCCUCACCGAUAUUGGAGCGCUCUCACCUGUCAACUCUCAAUUCUCAAUUCAAUAACAUCUCCGCAUUGGAUUUCAAUUCUGGAUCGUCGACCUAGCCGUCGUGGUUGUCGCAAUCGCCACUAUCACCGCCGGAGGUGCCUCUUUGGAUAUUUUUCUCUUUUCCGGCACUAUUUGUACGUUCCCAAACAAGAUGUGUUGUGACGAGGUGUACGGCGUCAAAGCUCGACAACAAAGACGUUGUGCAGCAGUGCAAGGAGCGGGGAUGCCUCAUGAAGGAGGGUCGCCUAUGUCCACCAUCACCGUUCCACCGUUCACGCUGACUACUAUCGUUCGUUUAGCAUCACUGGAUCUGCUCUCUCCAACCGCCGCCCCCUACACCAACGUUCAGUCUCAAUUUCCUCUCAUCUUAAUAGAGCUCACUACUAUUAUAGAAUCGCUGGAGUUAUCGCCUACGUUGGCACCUAAAAAGCGGCGCCGAAGAUGUUGCUCUGUCGUUACAUGCUCUGUCUCCGUCCUCGCCAACUGCUCCUUCGUCAUCACCACGCUUUGGAUCACCGCUGACGCCCUCUCCUACACCAUUUUCGUCUGACGUUAGGGAUGUGCAGCACGUGAGUACCGAGAGCGUAAAUUCAGAGGGGGGAGAGUCAUCCAGAGGAUUCAAAGGUGGAUAGAAAGUCAAAAUAGCGCUUGGAGUCAUCGCCUAUGUCGCUACGCUCAGAUCCAAUUUAGCGUUUCAAUCCUCUUGAGUCGUUUGUGGGCGUUUUUGGCUCCUUCUUCGUUGUCAUAUGUUUCAUUGGAUGUUUCUUUUUCUUGAAUUACCAUGCUGUCAGUCAGAGGCUUCACACUCGUACAUUGCCUGGGAGGCUUUCUUGGUUGGGAUUUGAUGAGUCGCAGUUGUCCUCCCCGUUGUCGUUAGGGGCGAUUGUCGAUAUACUGCUGGGGUUUCUUGAAGAGGGUGUUGAUGGGUGUAACGUGUUUGAUGGGAGUUGGGUUUGGAAUGAGAGCUACCCUCUAUAUCAAUCCUAGAAUUGUUCAUUGCUAGAUGAUGGGUUUCAUUGUUUUGAAAAAUGGUAGUCCUAAUAGUUUCUACAUCAAGUGGCGUUGACAGCCUAAGUAUUGUAACUUACAAGACACGGUUUGCACAUGUGCACUUUCCAUAUAUCUGUCGGGAUUAAAAAAAGAAACAGAGUAUCCCAUGGAAAUGAUAGGUUGCCAUAUAAAUAAGAGAGGGACGAGAAUUAAAGGGGGGAAAUGUUUUUUUUUUUUUUUUUUUUUGUCGGGGAAAAAUAGGCUAAGGAAAUUUUUUUCAGAGAGAGCACACAGAAUUUUGGAGGAGAGCGAGGGAUUUCAGACGAAGAUCGGGCUGCCACUUUAAUCAUCAAGAGAGGAUUUUUCUUUCACUUCAUAGGUUAGUUUUCUAUACAGUAUUUUUAUUUAGCCUAGAUUUGUUUUUUGAAAUUUUAAUUUUUGAUUAAUUCUUUGUGUUAAAGUUUAUAUCUUUAAUUCCGGGUUAAUUAGUUUAGUUUUCAUUUAUUUUUUAGUUUGAAUGUGUUAGUGAUUUUAAUUCAUUAGUUUAAAUAAUCUUGUCAGAUAAAGUUUAUAUUUUUUUUUUAAUUCCGGAUUAGUUAAGUUUUAGUUUAUGUUUUAGUUUGAAUGUGUUUGUGAUUUUAAUUCAUUAGUUUAAAUAAUCUUGUGAGAUGAAGUUUAUAUUUUUAAUUUAGGAUUAGUUCAGUUUUAGUUUGAAUGUGUUUGUGAUUUUAAUUCAUUAGUUUAAAUAAUCUUCUGAGAUAAAGUUUAUAUUUUUAAUUUAGGAUUAGUUCAGUUUUAGUUAAUAUUUUAGUUUGAACGUGUUUGUGAUUUUAAUUCAUUAGUUUAAAUAAUUUUGUGAGAUAAAGUUUAUAUUUUUAAUUUCAGAUUAGUUUAGUUUUAGUUUAUGUUUUAGUUUGAAUGUGUUAGUGAUUUUAAUUCAUUAGUUUAAAUAAUUUUGUGAGAUAAAGUUUAUAUUUUUAAUUCCGGAUUAGUUUAGUUUUAGUUUACGUUUUAGUUUGAAUGUGUUAGUGAUUUUAAUUCAUUAGUUUAAAUAAUUUUGUCAGAUAAAGUUUAUAUUUUUAAUUCCGAAUUAGUUUAGUUGUAGUUUAUGUUUUAGUUUGAAUGUGUUUGUGAUUUUAAUUCAUUAGUUUAAAUAAUUUAGUGAGAUAAAUUUUAUAUUUUUAAUUUGGGAUUAGUUUAGUUUUAGUUUAUGUUUUAGUUUGAAUGUGCUAGUGAUUUUAAUUCAUUAGUCUAAAUAAUCUGGUGAGAUAAAGUUUAUAAUUUUAAUUCCGGAUUAGUUUAGUUUUAGUUUAUGUUUUAGUUUGAAUGUGUUUUUUAUUUUAAUUCAUUAGUUUAAAUAAUCUUAUGAGAUAAAGUUUAUAUUUUUACUUCCGGAUUAGUUUAGUUUUAGUUUAUGUUUUAGUUUGAAUGUGUUUGUAAUUUUAAUUCAUUAGUUUAAAUAAUCUCGUGAGAUAAAGUUUAUAUUUUUAAUUCCGGAUUAGUUUAGUUUUAAUUUAUGUUUUAGUUUGAAUGUGUUAGUGAUUUUAAUUUAUUAGUUUAAAUAAUCUUGCGAGAUAAAGUUUAUAUUUUUUUGGAUUAGUUUAGUUUUAGUUUGAAUGUGUUAGUGAUUUUAAUUCAUUAGUUUAAAUAAUCUUGUGAGAUAAUUUUUUUUUAAUUCCACAUUAGUUUAGUUUUAGUUUAUGCUUUAGUUUGAAUGUGUUAGUAAUUUUAAUUCAUUAGUUUAAAUAAUUUUAUUAGAUAAAGUUUAUGUUUUUAAUUCCAAUUUAGUUUUGUUAUAAUUUAUUUUUUAGUUUGGAUAUAUUUGUGGUUGUAAUUCAAUAGUUUAAUUAAUCUGGCUAAAUAAACUUCAUGUUUUUAAUUAUAAUUUAGUUUAGUUUUAAUAUGUUUUUUUUUUUUACUUUGAGUGUGUUUAUGAUUUUAAUCCAAUAGUUUAAUUAAUCCCAUUACAUAAAGUUUAUGUUUUUUUAAUUCUAAUUGAGUAUAGUUUCAAUUUAUUUUUAUUUUUUUUAAUCUAGGUGUACUUGUGUGUUUAGCCAAUCCUAUGUUAAUUCUUGAUUGUUAUGUUCAAUUUAUGUGCUUCUUGAAUACUAGUCUUUAAUUUUUGGUGAAUGUCUCAUUAGCUUAUUUGAUCUAAGUUUGAAUAAUUUAUUGCUUUGAUGGUCUCUCAUAAAAUUUACUUGUCAAAGGCCAUUGGAAAAUAGUGACGAUUGGUCUCCAUUCUCACCACUUUAGUUUGCUCGAAUUGUCCAAAUUUUCACUUUGUGAAUUCGUUUUCUUUUGUUUUGCUAGGUAUUUUAUUUCUUAUGUUUUGUUAUUUUCACAUAAAUUCCCUUUAUUUUAAAAUCAAAUGUUUUCCUCAAAAGAUACCCUUGAAAAUUUUAUGUUAAAAAAUUCAUUUAAAGUCCUCAGGAUCAAAAUCUCUUUUUUAAAAAUAAAAUGCAAUCAUAUCUUGAUCAGUUUGCAUCCUUUUCGGCUUCCAAUGAAAAUUUUGGUUUUGAACAAAACACGAAUCAAAGCUUGUGGUCCCAAAUAAAUGGGACAAUUCUAGGCUAAAUUCGUGUAUAUCAAUUGGGGAAUUGGUGAAACCCCUACAUAAGAAAAUCUUUUCAAAACUUAUUUUUCUAUCACCCUUGCUAUUUGUUGUAAUCAUGUCUAUUUAUUUUUUAGGAAUUAUAUACAAGAUGUAUGUGAUAAUUGAUGAUUUCGUAUACUUUGAUAAUUUUUGUUAUGCUAAUUAGAUAUGCAUGUUAGGAUUUCUUGUUUUAUUAUUUAUUAUCUAACCCCCCAUGUCCUAAGAAAGCGUAUUAUGAGUUAUCUAUGCUAUCCAGGUACGCCCCCUAUCACCUACCUUCUAAAUUCUAUAAAUAUGAUCGUCAUUGUGAAUUAUGCUUAUGUUUGAUAGUGCUUGAGUGUUUUGAUAUACAUGUUUCAUUAUUCGAUUAUUUCUAAUAAAACGCAUGUUGGAUAAUAUACUAUUUGAACUAACUUAAUUUGAUGUCUUGUGAUAGCGCUUAAGAAGCAGUCCAAGUACACACCCGAAAUCUUCUUCAUGAUUGUGAUUGGUUUCCUUAUUUAGCAUGUUAUUUUUUAAAAUCACCUAGCCUACCUAGGUAUCUAUAAUUAACCAAUUAAUUGCCACAUUUCCCUAAACUUAGUCAGUAGAAACCUUUGUAGGGCUUAAAGGGGUGCUACUUUUUAGAGGUACCUUCCUAAUAGGUAACCUGAUCCUCGGAUUUAGACUCAGUUUUUUCAAAGACAUGCUUUUCCAAAAACUAUGAAGUCAUUUUUUUAGGGUUUUAUUUCUUGUUUUAUUUUUCCUUUAAAAUAAAAUAAAAUAAGUGGCGACUCCGACUUUUCUAAAAUUAUUUUUUCACAAAUAAAAUCGAGUCUCGCCAAUUGAGUGGGAGAUCACGUGAAAACUGCAGGUCCACACAAGUCAUUCUAGUUUUCCAAUAGGGAUAGUCGGUUCCCAUAAAAAAUGGAGCUCUAUGUUUUGUAAAAUUUUCAAACUCGGAUUUUAUUGUGGUUCAGCACUUCCUUGCCUACGUCCACUCUCCUCAAUCUCCUAACCAAGUGAGAGUUCCACUAACUUGAAGCUUCAACCAAGCUUCCAAUCUUUUUACACUUGGAUUGCGGCUCCAAUUAGCUCUUGCACAAUCUCUUCAAGAUUCAAACCUCUUGAAGGCUUUAACACUCAGUUUUUACAAGAAUGAAUCCCUCAACCUAUCUCAAUGAUAUCUCAAAUACAAAACAAAGCUAGGAUGACUCACAAGGGUGUACUAAAAGAUAUGCAAGUGAGGAUUUAAUGCACUAAAAAGGAAAUGAGAGCUUUUAAGGCAAGAACAAGUAGGUAGACAAUUGAUUGCAAGUGUCUUUCUGUCAUAAUGAAGUAGAGCUCUCAAUUUAUAGGUUUCUAAGCUUGGGAGCCAAGAACAGCAAAAAACAGCCUCAACCGGUCGAGCUGGGGGUCGACCGGUUCACUAGCCGUUGGAGCAUUUAAUGUUUUGGCAGGUUACCAUUGUCUCGAUUGGACCUCGGCCAGAGGUCGACCGGGAAGGAGGAAACCUCAACCAAGAAAGGAAGGAUACUGAAAAAGAGAGAGUGAUUUUGACACUCCUCGACCGGACCUCGACCGCACAAGGGCAACCGGUCGAUUGGUUCCCCAACCAAUUGAGCCGGUUGGCCAGAGCCUCGACCGGUUCAGCCUUUUGGCCCCGAAAACCUAUCUUUUUCACUUCUUUUCUUUUCUAACACUUAGGCAAGGUCUUUAGGUAAAUUAAUAUGCCAAUUUUGAAACGUUUUGCCUAAGGUACAUUUGAUAAAACUCGGGUUUUAAUGAAAUUACAACUAUAGAGAACAAAUCGAGUUUUCCAAAGAUGCAUAAAAAGAUAUGUAAACCCUAAGUGCACUCAUGCAUUCAUCUUACAUUUUUUUUUCUUAUGAUUAAAAGUCUUCCGAAAGUCCUGAUCUUGUAUCCAUUUGGUCAUUUGAUGAAUUUCCGAAUUUAUACCUGAGAUUCUUUACCAUUCAAACCAAUUAGUCACUUAACAAUGGUUUGUUAUCAUCAAAACCUGAUUAGGAGAACCCAUUGGGUUAACACUCUUUUUUACGUGUCUUUGUUUUCCAUAAUGGUAACAUUUGACAUUCUUCUUACCUUAAGGCUUUAACUUACUCUAUUUGUGACUCCCACUAGAACCACGUUUUGUUGAUCUUCCUUUAGAAAUAAUUAGAGCCUCAGUUUGUUGAGAAGAUGAUAUUUGUAUUCCUUAUUUUUAUGCCUACUUUCUUCCUCAAGUAUAGUAGUCGCAACAUUAUUAAAGACUAGUAAAAAACUGAAACACCCAAAGUGGGGGUGAAUGAGUGAUUUUAAAAUUUAAAAUAAAGAUUUAUAUAUAUUAUCCCCAAUUUUUAUCUUGAGAAGUACCAGUGAUACCUUGUAUAACCUAAUAGGCUAUACUUGAAAUCUUUAAGUAUAAAAAUAUGAUUUUUAUCUUCUAGGGAUAACCUAUGAGAUGUUAGGGUAACAAUGAUAAUCAAAUAUUCAAUGAUAUAACAAUGAAAUGAAAAGAUAUGCAGUGGGCAUGAGAUUUUUAUGUGGAAAACCCUCAUACUAACUAUAAAGGGAAAAAAAAAAACCCCCCACAAAAUCUAAGACCUACUAAUCUAAAUCCAUUAUGUGAAAUUAGGUUACACAUAUUUACUUGAUCAUCUUACCUUAAAGAUUUUCUUUUCAGUACCUACAACUUGAUUCACAUUCGCAAUGCAGCAACCUUCAAUUGCUCCAAUGGAUCACUUUAGCCUCGUCAAAGGGAUGAAGGUCUUCAACCCAAGAUUCAUAAAUCAAAUCCUUAAAUGAGAGAUUGGGAAUGGUGUGGUACUUUAGGCUUUCUUCUCAAUGAGAACCUCUCAAUAAGUUUGAGAUCACUUUCCAAUCUCCAGAAUCUCUAAAACGAUCUUUUAAGCCUCAAGGGGUUAUAAUGAGGUAUUUAUAAGAGUAAAUCCUGAAGAGGUUUGGUUUUAGAAGACUUCCAAAUCAUAUUUGCAUGAAAGAAUCUUAGUUGAAAAUUCGUGACCACUCUAGCCUACUUUGGUGGCUUGAACGCUUCAAGUGCUCAAGUAGUAUGGAACGCUUGAGCGGUCAUCAUUUAAGUGUUGUUCCCCGCUUAAGCAUUCUCUAUUUUUCAAAAAAAUUAUAAAAAUUAAUUUUAAAUUCAAAACAAUUAUCAAUCCUCUUUAUACCUCAAUAGAGUCUACCACAAGCCAAAGAUUUUUAAACAUAUCUGUGACUUCCCAGUUGGACGAAUGGCAACUCUUGAUCUUCAAUGGAAAGCAAGUCACUAUCUAAAAAGACUUCUAUAUUCAAACAUUAAAAAAAAAACAAAAUUAUUAACAAUUAAACAAGACUCUAUCUCCUAACAACUAGCAUUAUCCUCAAAGCACCAUUGGCCAUAUUUAUGAUGAGAUGAUCAUAUGAGUCAGGUAGACUUUGGAAUAGAAGUUCAACACAUUCUUUCUCUUCUAUGUUAUGCUCCAUAGCUAACAGUUGAUAGAACAAAAAUUUUAGAGUGUUAUUGUGUUUAGUCAUCGAAGUAGAUUAUGACAUUCAAAUAGUGUAGAAUUUUCUUUCCAAGAAGAUUUUGUUAUGCAAUGAUUUGGCUUUAUAUAGUUUUGUUGAAGUACUUGUUGUUGCCUUGAGAAGGUGUAGACAUGAGCCCACAUAUGUCAAUUUGAAUUAGCUCCAAUACCUUCUUUGCUCUCCAAGAAACUUCAUUUGGAAAUGAUUGUCUGUGAUGCUUCCCAAUAGCACAACCUUCACAUAUUUCAUUCUUUUUUUCAAUGGUUUAGGCAACCGUUGUACCACAUCUUCCUUUGAUAAAGCAUUUUCAAGCUAUUGAAGUUCAAGUGCCUAAAUCUUCUAUGUCAUAACCAAACUUCAAUAUUUUCCACUCUAAAAUCCACAUUUUCAGCAUAUUUGAAUACAAAUGGAUGCCCAAAUUUUUUUACAAUUAAAGCAUUAAGGCUUCCCUUUGAACCAACAAUCUUUCUUAACAUGAUUGCUUCUUUUAUAAAUACUACACAUUGUGAGUGAUAAGGCUUCUUUGUUAGUGAACUUUCUUCCAUUGUUGAAGUUUUUUUCUACCUCUUCCUCUUCCUCACCCAGUUCUACCACCUUUGGAUAAAUCACUUCUAUUUUCAUUGCUUGUAGGUUUCCUUUCAACUGAUUUUUUAGAAUGCCUCAACAAUCUCUACUCAUAAGUUUUUAAAGACCUAAAUAGCUCUUGUACAUUGAGUUAUGAGAGAUCUUUUGUUUUUUCAACCAUAGCCACAAUUGGGUCAUAUUUAUUAGGUAGGCUGAUCAAAAUUUUCUCAAUAAUUCUUCUGUCACUAAUUUCUUCACCAUGUGACUUCAUUUGAUUUAUGAACUCCAUAAAUCUAGAAGAGAACUCAUUUAGAGUUUAAUUCUCCCUUAUUUUCAUAUUUUCUAGCUCUCUUCUUAAAUAUUGAAGCCUUACUGAUCGGGUUCUUCUAUAUUCUUGGAACUCUUGUUGGAGGAUGUCCCAUGCUUCUUUACCUUUUGAAGCUAGCUCUCAUAAUUCUUGGGAAAACGCUAUUACCAACACCCUAUUGAAUAAAUAGGAGAGCUUUUGCAUCCUUUUUUUUUUCCAAUCUUUCAAUUGAUCUUUUUUAAUUGGAGUUAGUGUAGCUGCAUUUUCAAGUUCAUCAAAACUAUUUUCAACCAAAUCCUAAACAUCUUGAGACAUAAAUAAUGUUUUCAUUUUUAUGCACCAAAAAUCAUAGUUUUCUCCUUCAAAUAAUGGAAUAGAAAGAGGCAUGAAAACUCAUACUUGUAAGAUUUGUGUUGGCCAUUGAUCUACUCUUCAAAUCCUUGGUCCUUCUACUUCAAUGUUGAGGGUUUCUAGCUACAUAAUCUGCUUGCAAAACAACAACAACACUUGCUCUUCAUUUUAUCUUUCCUUGUUUGCCUUCAAAUUUUGUUGCUUCAAUGACCGCCAAUUCAAUUAUAUUGUGGGUUUGGAUUUGGGUCUUCAAGUGAAAAGAAACCCUAGAAUCCUCCUUCUCCAAAAUAGUGGAUAUUUCUUAAAAUUCCAUACAUAAGAGACAUGUUGCAAUAGAUAAGAGGACUUGAAAAAGAGAGAUAGUAUAUAUAUGUUGGUGAGACACCCUGAAAUCUGGGAACAAAAAACUGGAAACAACAAGUUCUUUGAUACUAGUUCUUUUGAUUGAAAGGUGGGUUCAUGAAACGGGUGACUUUGAUACUAGUUCUUUUGGUUAUAGUUUCGACUUGAAAACAGAGGAUGGAUACUGAAAGAAAAUGGAAGAGUAACAGCCGGAAACAAAGAAGUAAAACAGUCCCCCAUAAAACAAAGUUCUUUUGGUUAUAGUUUUUCACUUCGCAUUUCUCUCUUGGAUUUUUUUAUUUUUUUAUUUUUGUUAUAGUUUGCAAGCUACAAAACCAGAUGUUAAUAAAUUUAACUUGAAUAAAUCUCUCCACAUGGGAGCAUAACAACCACUCAAAACAUAAAAAACAAAAAACUAAUUUUUAUAUAAAUGCAACCCAAAUAUGGAAUAGGCACCUUGUGUUACAUCCGUGCUGCUUGUGCAUGCAGCCGUAUUUGCAAUGAUAGCAAGUCUCUUAAUCUCUUUAGUUUGAGUUUGAUAUUUAGGAUUGGGAUUAUAAUUGAAUAAGAAUGAAGGUAACUAGAAAAGUAAAAUCCAAAUGAUGAGAGUGAGUUUGGAUUUCCACGAGAUUCAAUUUGUCAUUCUUAUUCUUAUUCUCAUUUCUAGAAAACGGUCUAAAUGCAGUAAUAAAAAUGACGUGUGGAAAAGUGGGUUUCAUGCAUAAAUUUAAAAAAAAAAUAAAAGAUAAAAACAAGUAAAAUAAAAACUCCUAAAAAUAAUUCAAAUUUUAUGUAUUUUCAAGUAAAAAAUACUUACGAUCGAUGAUCAAAUUUAGUACCUAUGUCAUAUCUAGAUGGUCAAAUUAAGAUAAUACUUUUGAUCAAAAGAUGCACAAAAUCCUAAUUAUUUUUAGGUAAUUAGUAUAUUAAACUUAAAUUUUACAAAUUCUUUGUAUAAAAACAACCUUUUUUGCUUUAUCUGAUUCUAUUCUAUAUUCCAUCAUUUCAAACAUGGGGAAUGAUAAUAUUGUGAGUUAUAUGAACGUAUUAUUGGUCUUCAGUUUCGGUUCUGAAUUUUAUAGUGACAACUACAUGGGAACACAUAAGCAUAAUCAACACAAGGAUAAUAUUUGAAGGACACUCCGACAUCUAAUAGCAAUCACCAUAUAGAGUACAUGGACCCGGAUGGAAAUCAAUGGACAAUAGCAUUCACCAGCACCUCAAGUUUGCAAGCUGGCUUCCUUCCACAUCAUGUGGAUGCAAUGAGGCAAUCAAAUUUUGUUACAUCACACGGAAAAACAGGAAGGGGAAAACAAAGAAAACAAAAUAAAUGAACACACGCAUGAUAUUAUUUCAGUCGCAAGCAACCUGCAUGCAUCAUAUGAAAAACAGAAGCAGAGGCUUAGUAGAGUGCGCUUAUGGCGUUCUCGUCAUGGCAGCACCCGAAAGUGAUGUACUUCUCCAUGAUCCGGAGGCACUCUGGGCACCUGAUCUUCUCUGGAAUCCUUCCAACUUCGCUCGGGAACUCAAAGCGGCAGCAGGGCUGAGAAUCGCUAUGAAGCUUGCUAUGGAAAUCCAUGCAAGCAAUAUCGAAGCCCUUUGGAGGCACGUCGUCUUUCCAUAAAUUGUACUCGGUAAAGGUGGGCAAAACAGUGCUGCUGUGGCCAUUGACGAACACAAAAGACCCCUUGCUCAGUACAGCCCAUCCUCCUUCUUUGUCAUAGCUGAGAAGUUUCUUGAUUUCCCGCAACAUGGAGUCAUCAUCGUCGCCCCUCCCUAGCUGGAUCUUGGAGAACAACAUGCUUUCCAAUCGGGUCCAGAAGAACCAAACCAUGGUGAGGUCUUGCCAGCAGUAGCUGAGAUUAUCCGUGGUGAUGCUUGUUAUGCAUUUCCGAACUUGCUCUCUCUUGUUGCUCUUUCCCACGUACACCAUCUCUAAGGGGAUCCGUGCAGCCGAUGCAACUGCCCUUGCUGUGGUUGUGAAUUUUCUGAUCCACUCCAUGUCAGUCCCUCCAUACAAGUAAAUGAAUUUUCCUUCUUUGACCUGAUGGAACAAAAACAUUCCCAGGGUAUUUUAAAAAUGUUCACGAUUGGUCUCGUAUUAGGGAAAAGUGAGGUCAUUCAUGCACAUCUAAAUAUGUAUUUAGAUUGGUAAAGGUGAAUUACCCAGUUCAGUACAGUUGGGUCAAUGCCAUCCACCAGCAGCUCAAGCCUCCAAGUCUCUUCCUUCCACAGAGCUUCCUCCCUCAAACUGGUGAACGGAAAGGCGGUACUCCCCCAUAUCCACAUCAUGUGGAUUGCAUUAGGGCUCACCACUCUUCCUUGUGGAUCUAGCACCACAAGGAUGGGCUUGUUCCGGAAGUGCCACACCUCCUUGAUGAACCUGAUGACUGCCUUAUCAAUCAGUGUAGGAGUGUAGACUGAAUACCAUGGCAUUGUGGCCUGCAGAGUCACAAACCGAUCUUGCAUGGCAUCUGUCCACACAACUGAGCGGUCCACAACUGGGAUCCACACAACUUCGUACUGACUCUCCAUCCUAGUCCCGUGGACCCGAGACUCAUUAUAGAUCUGAUCCAGAAUUGAAAGCUCGUCAUGGGAGAUGGAUAGGCCUGAUAUAAGCAGCAAAACAUUCUUCCUCCUCAGCACAUCUAUGUUAACCUGCGGCAUUAAAGUUAGAACUUUAGGUUAGUAGUAACGAAGUGGAAAAAGAAAAUGCACAUUAGAACUUUUAAGUCGUGGUAAUAAUUUUUUUUUAUAUAUGACAGUUUCAUGGAAUAGUGCUACUGCCAAUGCAGUAAUGCAGUGAUAUGUUUGUAGAGUGAACCCUUCUCUUUGUAGAGCCUUCAAGCAGUGGCUGCACGUCAUCCUUGGGAGAAAUCAGUGCCCUGAGAAUCUUCAUGUUGUCAAUGUGAAUACUCUCAAAAAGAUUCAGAAGCAUUUGAAAAGUUUCAGCAUUCCGCUUAUCAUCUGCAUCAAAACAGCAAUCCCUUGUCAGAUUUAAAAUCCAUUUCAUUGGUAUUUACAUUAGCUGUGCAACACUUGCUUCCAUAAAUUUGGAAAGGGUUGGUGGUCUUACCUAUGUAUUGGUAACAAAGAGUAAGUUGCUUCUUCAGAAGAUCCAGUAUGCUAUUGAUCUUGUGAGCCAUGGUGGACAGUUCCCAUGCCUCAUUUGUAGCAGAUAUCCAGUACCUAAAAUCAUUGCAAUUGUCAUAAGUAAAAUGAUUGUUGCCUAACCAGCAUUCCCAAUGGAUUAAGUGGCAUAUCAUAUAAUUCUUCCACAAAAUCAGAGGCAUUUAUUUUUUGUAUUUGGAAAAUUAGCAAAUGGAAAAGAUAUUUAGUUGGCAGUACUUUGCUUUACUAAGGUUGAAAGAUUGAAGCAUGAUAUAUCAGCAAAGAGACUAUAACAUACUCAUGGCCCAUGCUAGUGAAGGUUGUAAUCUGAGUUGCGCAAGCCACAACACUCCUGAUGGUCCAGUAAACAGCAGUGGGGAUAUGUUUCAUUGCUGUUGCUAAUGCUGGUACGUCCUGGCUUAUAUACAUGGACGGGAGCUCCUUGAACUCAAUAAUGCACCUGGUAAUUGCCACCAUAGCCCUGAUGAGAUUGUUAAGAGCAUCAAACCGUGGUUUUAGUUGACCAGAGUGCUCCAAGAUGGUGGGCACUUGCUUAAGGAUUGCCAUUGAUUUCGCAAGUUGGUUGGAUGAGGAGAUCUGAGCAAGGAGCCAGAAUUCACCAUAGUUCACAGCAAAAGCUGAUAGGGUUAGCACCAGCUUUGCUUCCCAUGAAUAGCUUGUUAACAGGUUAAAUAUAGAGAGUGUCAUUGCAUGAGCGUCACCUCCGCCCAAACUCUUGUAUGCUAUCUGAAUACAUAAUUGAUUGAUCACAUGUCAUUGUAAAGAAACAAAUAAAACGUAAUCAUGCCAUGUGUAUAAUGCAUAAGGGAUGAGUUUUCUGCAUGUCAUUCUAAGAAAUGAAUUUUUGCAGUAGUUCUUUGUAAUAACCUCGCAGGAAAUUCGAUCAAUGGUAAACGACAGUGCUUCGAGCAAAGCAAUGAAACUGGCUUGAUUUGUCCUAUCAUCAGAAGUUUCAAUGCGUGUUUGGGCAGCCUGCAAUGAAAUCACGAGUGGAUUAUCUACUAUAAAUGCAUAGAAAAUUUGUAUCUGCAUACCCUUUCGUUCAAGUAUCCUUCAUUAAUUAGGAUUGUCAAUUGCAUAUGCUCUUAACUAACACAACAAACUAAAACGUGGACGUUCUAAUGUUCUUGAAUUAAAUGAUUUCACCCCAUGGAAGCAGCUCGAGCAUUUGGAAAAAGAAGAAGAGUGUUAUUGUGAAGGAGUUGAAAUUUUGAAAUAGAUGUUAUCCUCAAAACAUAUAGUAGGAAAAAGGUGGACUUCGGCAGUAAAAAGUUUGUUAUUCUGAAAAUAUUUUAGAUGUAGAUAAAUGACUAUAUGGCGUAAAAAUUUCUUGUGUUGAUUUUGUAGAUAACAUAGGAGUUGGCUAGUUAGUAUGACAUUGUGCUGGCAAGGAAUCCUUGAUUGGUAUGUGCAUUUACUUUUGUUUUGGCUAUUGAAAAAAAUGAACAAGGUCAAGUAAUUAAAAGCAGCCUGAACAAAAGAAACUGGCAGAAACAUUAGGCCCUUACUACAUUAGAGGUUAUAGGAGUGUUAUACCGAAAUUAAGGGAUCAACACCCGGUGUAGCCCGAUUCAGGAUGUCUUCCACGAGUUGGAAAAGAGGCUUAACAUCAAACUCUCGGCCAUCAGGAGCAUGGGUUGCGUGAAUUUGUUUCACCAUCAUGUUGUCAUCAGACAUGGUUAUCAUGCUCCUAUCAUGCUUGAUCAGUUUUUGUAAGGGAACUGGGUUGAUUUUGGUGGUUUCUGCGGGCUUCAACACUUGCUGCAGCGGAGCUGGGUUGAUCGCUUGCUGCAUCGGAGAUGGGUUGUUCACUUGCUGCAUGGGAGUUGGGUUACUGAGUUCUUUGGCCAUUUGCUGCAAUGGACCUUAGAUGGCUUUGUUGGUAGUCACCGUUUUGGGUAUGCAAAAGAAGGCAAGUAGCUAAGAUUUUGAGUCAGAACGGAAGAGGAGAAGAUGGCUUGUGUUCCUUUUGCAGACUGCUUGCCCUUUAUAUACCCUUCACAAACGAAUAAAGCGAGCCUCACUGAAUCUAACUCUUUACUUCCGCCAUAAUUAAAAUUCAGGUACUUUGGACCAAGACUUGCUUUCGUGACUGAUCAUCUUCUUGUUUCACGAUUUUAUUCUUUUGGGUGGUCCCAGAAGCAGCAGUUACUUCUGAAUCAAAAGAGAGAUCUGGGUCCCGCGAAUUUUCUUAUUCCUCGUAGAAUUUAUACAAACUGCAAACGCUACAAUGAAAAUUCAAAACCAUGAAGCUUCAUUUCAUGGCACUUUCAUAAAGCGUCAUGAUUUAGCUUAUAAUGGGAUAUACAAUGGUGCUUACUAAAAGCACAUUGUUUAAUUUAAUUUUCUUAAUAUUAUUAUACUUAUUAUAAGCGUUAUUAUUUGAUGUGACCUUUUAACUUAUAAUUGGGAAUACAAUAGUGCUUAUCGGAGGUGUCUUAGUUUUAUUAUUCAACCUUGGUGCUUUUUCAAAGUUCAAUAUAGUAACACAAACCUUUAUGCCAUGUUAAUUAUCUUCUACUUUAUUUACCCUCAAUAUCCAUUUAAAAAAUAUUCAUAAACCUCAUCCCUCAAAUCCCACCAUUAGACUUGACAAACCCUAGAUAUUUGAGGACCUUACUAUUGAUGUGUUAAUGUAUUGCAGUUUGUUUUUUGAUAUUUUAACCGUGGUUAAGUUAUCUUUUUGAUCUAUGGCUAUAAUACUAACAGAUGGAGGGCUUGGAUAGAAGAGAGAAGUGUGUUGAGCAAGCUUCUUAUUUUUGUAUCUAAAAAAAUCUGAAAAUAUGAGAAGUAGCAGUUCACGUUGCCUUUAUGUGCCUUGGUUUUACUUUGCUCUGUGUUUUUUCUUGUUUCUUUCUCUACAGAUUUGCAGGCCUUCAUUUAUGCGGAGAACCAGUAGCUUGUUCAAGGGUAGCAUCAACAGCAGACCAUCCAACACUUACACAUACUCAUAACUCCAAAAUGCAAAUGGUCGAUGAGCUACCAUAGGAAAUCUUCACUGACACUUCCUAACCAACACUCACCAUCCUCACCCUUAAUCAGUGAGCCUCCACAAACAACUAGAAGCUUAAAAGCUAUUGAGAUUUUUGGACCCCACACAAAAGCUGUUGUUUGUUUUAUAAUGUUCUAAUGAGAAGUCUGGAAUUCAAUUUUUUCCCCUUCAAAUUUUCUUUUGAAAAUUUCUCUAACCUAAACCUCUGUUACUUUGUGUAUGUUCUAUUUAGAUCUUAUUUUUGGAUUCUUUUGUAUAAAUUUAUAAUGUUUUAGACUCAGAAAUGUAGGGAAAUGAACUAUUUUUGUUUUUGCUCUGUUAUUGCUUCCCUUUUGCUUAUGCCAUUUAAGUUUAUAUUUUCAUGAUUUUGAUCUCAGAAAGCGGUGUUUAAGAUUCAUAGAUGACGGUUGACUGCAUAAAAGUUGUUGGCUAUUUACUGGACUUAAGUAGUGGAGAUUUAUUUUGAUUACUUUUAUUUUCCAAUGAUUUCUUACUAUCCAAGCAAAGUUUAAUAUUAAGAAAUUUGAUUGCUUCAUACCAUGUAGUUUAGUAUUUCAAGUUUUAUGGUUUAGACUGUUAUUAUUGUUUUAUAUUAGAUGUAUUUAAAGAAACUGGUUGCAUCUGAACCUAGUUAUGGUAAGGUGUAUUCCAAUUAGAAAAUUAGAAAAGUACGUAUGAGAGUAGAUCAUGAAGACCGGUACUAAUUCCUUUGUUUAUUUCAUUAAUGGUUAUGGAAUGACAUAAAUUUUGCGAUAUUGUUUGGUAUUAUUGUAUAUAUAAGAGGGUGAUUGGGACUGCCAAACGAUCAACUAAGGGAGUCUGGACAGAGCAAAAGGUUAGAAAUUAAAGGUUCUUAUAGGGUUUAUGGCUUUCUGUUGUGUAGUUUUGGGUGUUGGGCUAGUUAUUUGAACAACUUUGAAAUGGGGUUGUGAUGAAUGGUUCUUUGCAUUUACUUGUUAUUUGAACUACUGUGAAAUGAAGAUUAGAUGAAUGACUUCAUAUGCAUUCUUUUUCCCCAUUAACAGGAUCAAGUAUUAGUCUAUGUUGUCAAAAAGUACAAUGGAAAUAACUGGAAAAAAAUUUGGUGCAUAUAACAUUAUUGCUUUCCACUCAUAAGGGUUCCUCAGUAGCAGAAUCUAUCUGAUUAGCUUUGUAAUUCAUAAACAUACCAGUAGCCGGGGAAUAAAUUAGUGUUAAUUAAGUUUUUCAGAAAAAAUUAUUUUCAUAAUAUUUUUUAGGCUGGCCAAUUUCGCUCAGUCUGUUUCUUUCAACUGUCAAUUUGCGACAAACUUGUCACCUUGUGCAACCAAAUAUGUCACUGGCACAAUAGAGAAAUCUUCUCUUGUUUGUGUCUAAGCUUUUUUUAUAGCCUUUUAAUCCAGAUAGCUUCCUUACAAGCCUGUGUAGCUGCCAUGUACUUUGCUUCUGUUAUAGAUAGAGCCACAAUAGUUUGGAGUUUUGAAACCUAGCUCACAACUCCUCUUGUAAGUGUAAACAAAUAGCUCGUAGUAGAUUUAUUCUUAUCAAGAUAACCUGCAAAGUCUGAAUCAACAUAACUAAUACUUUGAUGUAUCUAAGGAUCCUCUUAACUAUAUUUCAAUGCUCUCUCCCCAAAUUUGCCAUGAAUCGACUUAUCACUCCCACUACUUGUGCAAUGUUUGGUUUUGUACAAAUCAUAGAAAACAUUUCCCAUUGCUGAUGCAUAUGGUGUUUGAGAUAGUUUCAUCCACUCCGCUUUAUUACUAGGACUCAUACUUAAGGAUAAUUUGUAAUUUACAAGAAGUAAGGUAGAAACUGGUUAAUUUACAAUCAUGCAUGUUAAGACGAUGUAAAAAAAUUUUCAAAUAGCUUUUUUGUGAGAGUCAAAUCUUCUUGUUUUGUCUAUCUUGGCAAAUUUGCAUCCCUAGAAUUUUGUUUGUUGGUCCUAGAUCCUUCAUCUUAAAUAUCUUAGCCAAUUGUGCCUUUAAUUCUUAGACUCAAUCUUUGUUGGGGUUUUCAACCAACAUGUAAUCACGUAUAACAACAAAAUAAUAAAAUCAUCACCCUCAAACCUCUUGUAAUAUAUACAAUGAUAUGAAUUGAGUCUAUUGUACCCAAGGCUCAAUAUGAAGGAAUCAAAUCUCUUGUACCCACAUUUUGACACUUAUUUUAUACCAUACAAAGAUUUAGUUAAUCUGCAAACCAAGUUCUCUUUCUCAUUUUCUUCAAAGCCUUUCAGGCAUAUAAAUUUCUUCUUGAAACUCUCCAUGAAGAAACGCAAUUUUCACAUCUAACUACUCAAAGUGUAAAUCCAAUCCAGCACACAUAGCUAAGACUACUCAAAUUGAUGUAAAUUGAACAAUUGGAGAAAAUCACUCAUUGAAAUCAAUACCUUCUUUCUAAGCAUAUUCUUUAACCACGAGUCUUGCACAAUACUUCUCCACUUGGUCAUUGCUGUCAUGUUUGAUCUUAUAGACCUACUUAUUUCCAAUAAUUUUUCUUCCAAGUGGUGGGGGCACAAAUUUCCAUGUCUGGUUCUUAUGCAAGGAUUUAACCUUCUCUUGCUUUGUUGUCAUCCAUAGGAUGGGUGCCAAUUCUCGUUUUGAUUCCAUUUAUUCUCUCUAUUCAUUUCUCCUGGAAUGACCCAACUCCUUCGCUCCAUCUCUCUCUCGUGAAGGGUUCAAGGUUUUCUUCGCUACUUCAGAUCUUGCAGCAGCUCGAAUCCUCACCGACAUUGGAGCGCUCUCACCUCUCAACUCUCAAUUCUCAAUUCUCAAUUCAAUCGCAUCUCCGCAUUAGAUUUCGAUUCUGGAUCGUCGACCUAGCCGUCAUGGUUGUCGCAAUCGCCACUAUCACCGCCGGAGGUGCCUCUUUGGAUAUUUUUCUCUUUUCCGGCACUGUUUGUACAUUCCCAAACAAGAUGUGUUUUGACGAGGUGUACGGCGUCAAAGCUCGACAACGAAGACUUUGUGCAGCAGUGCAAGGAGUGGCGAUGCCUCAUGAAGGAGGGUCAUCUACGUCCACCAUCACCGUGCCACCGUUCACGCUGACUACUAUCGUUCGUUUAGCAUCGCUGGAUCUGCUCUCUCCAACCGCCGCCCCCUACACCAACGUUCAGUCUCAAUUUCCUCUCAUCUUAAUAGAGCUCACUACUGUUAUAGAAUCGCUGGAGUUAUCGCCUACGUUGGCACCUAAAAAGCGGCGCCGAAGACGUCGCUCUGUCGUUACAUGCUCUGUCUCCGUCCUCGCCAACUGCUCCUUCACCAUCACCACACUUUGGAUCACCGCUGACGCCCUCUCCUACACCAUUUUCGUCUGACGUUAGGGAUGUGCAGCACGUGAGUACCAAGAGCGUAAAUUCAGAGGGGGGAGAGUCAUCCAGUGGAUUCAAAGGUGGAUAGAAAGUCAAGAUAGCGCUUGGAGUCAUCGCCUAUGUCGCUACGCUCAGAUCCAAUUGUUUGGUGUACAAGAAACGGCGAGACAAUAUUCAACGAUCCCAAUAUGGUUGUUCACAUGAGUUCUUGAAGAAAUUUAGCGUUUCAAUCCUCUUGAGUCGUUUGUGGGCGUUUUUGGCUCCUUCUUCGUUGUCAUAUGUUUCAUUGGAUGUUUCUUUUUCUUGAAUUACCAUGCUGUCAGUCAGAGGCUUCACACUCGUACAUUGCCUGGGAGGCUUUCUUGGUUGGGAUUUGAUGAGUCGCAGUUGUCCUCCCCGUUGUCGUUAGAGGCGAUUGUCGAUAUACUGCUGGGGUUUCUUGAAGAGGGUGUUGAUGGGUGUAACGUGUUUGAUGGGAGUUGGGUUUGGAAUGAGAGCUACCCUCUAUAUCAAUCCUAGAAUUGUUCAUUGCUAGAUGAUGGGUUUCAUUGUUCUGAAAAAUGGUAGUCCUAAUAGUUUCUACAUCAAGUGGCGUUGACAGCCUAAGCAUUGCAACUUACAAGACACGGUUUGCACAUGUGCACUUUCCAUAUAUCUGCCGGGAUUAAAAAAAGAAACAGAGUAUCCCAUGGAAAUGAUAGGUUGCCAUAUAAAUAAGAGAGAGACAAGAAUAAAAGAGGGGAAAUGUUUUUUUUUUUUUUUGUCUGGGAAAAAUAGGCUAAGGAAAUUUUUUUCAGAGAGAGCACGCAGAAUUUUGGAGGAGAGCGAGGGAUUUCGGACGGAGAUCGGGCUGCCACUUUAAUCAUCAAGAGAGGAUUUUUCUUUCGCUUCAUAGGUUAGUUUUCUAUAUAGUAUUUUUAUUUAACCUAGAUUUGUUUUUUGAAAUUUUAAUUUUUGAUUAAUUCUUUGUGUUAAAGUUUAUAUUUUUAAUUCCGAAUUAAUUAGUUUAGUUUUCAUUUAUUUUUUAGUUUGAAUGUGUUAGUGAUUUUAAUUCAUUAGUUUAAAUAAUCUUGUGAGAUAAAGUUUAUAUUUUUUUUUUAAUUUCGGAUUAGUUAAGUUUUAGUUUAUGUUUUAGUUUGAAUGUGUUUGUGAUUUUAAUUCAUUAGUUUAAAUAAUCUUGUGAGAUGAAGUUUAUAUUUUUAAUUUAGGAUUAGUUCGGUUUUAGUUUGAAUGUGUUUGUGAUUUUAAUUCAUUACUUUAAAUAAUCUUGUGAGAUAAAGUUUAUAUUUUUAAUUUAGGAUUAGUUCAGUUUUAGUUUAUAUUUUAGUUUGAAUGUGUUUGUGAUUUUAAUUCAUUAGUUUAAAUAAUUUUGUGAGAUAAAGUUUAUAUUUUUAAUUCCAGAUUAGUUUAGUUUUAGUUUAUGUUUUAGUUUGAAUGUGUUAAUGAUUUUAAUUCAUUAGUUUAAAUAAUUUUGUGAGAUAAAAUUUAUAUUUUUAAUUCCGGAUUAGUUUAGUUUUAGUUUAUGUUUUAGUUUGAAUGUGUUAGUGAUUUUAAUUCAUUUGUUUAAAUAAUUUUGUCAGAUAAAGUUUAUAUUUUUAAUUCCAGAUUAGUUUAGUUGUAGUUUAUGUUUUAGUUUGAAUGUGAUAGUGAUUUUAAUUCAUUAGUUUAAACAAUUUUGUGAGAUAAGGUUUAUAUUUUUAAUUCCGAAUUAGUUUAGUUUUAGUUUAUGUUUUAGUUUGAAUGUGUUUGUAAUUUUAAUUCAUUAGUUUAAAUAAUCUCGUGAUAUAAAAUUUAUAUUUUUAAUUCCGGAUUAGUUUAGUUUUAGUUUAUGUUUUAAUUUGAAUGUGUUAGUGAUUUUAAUUCAUUAGUUUAAAUAAUCUUGGGAAAUAAAGUUUAUAUUUUUAGUUACGGAUUAGUUUAGUUUUAGUUUAUGUUAUAAUUUGAAUGUGUUAGUGAUUUUAAUUCAUUAGUUUAAAUGAUCUUGUGAGAUAAAGUUUAUAUUUUUAAUUCCGGAUUAGUUUAAUUUUAAUUUGAAUGUGUUAGUGAUUUUAAUUCAUUAGUUUAAAUAAUCUUGUGAGAUAAAGUUUAUAUUUUUAAUUCCAAAUUUAUUUAGUUUUAGUUUAUGUUUUAGUUUGAAUGUGUUAGUGAUUUUAAUUCAUUAGUUUAAAUAAUCUUGUGAGAUGAAGUUUAUAUUUUUUAUUCGGGAUUAGUUUAGUUUUAGUUUAUGUUUUAGUUUGAAUGUGCUAGUGAUUUUAAUUCAUUAGUCUAAAUAAUCUGGUGAGAUAAAGUUUAUAUUUUUAAUUCCGGAUUAGUUUAGUUUUAGUUUAUGUUUUAGUUUGAAUGUGUUUUUUAUUUUAAUUCAUUAGUUUAAAUAAUCUUAUGAGAUAAAGUUUAUAUUUUUACUUCCGGAUUAGUUUAGUUUUAGUUUAUGUUUUAGUUUGAAUGUGUUUUUAAUUUUAAUUCAUUAGUUUAAAUAAUCUCGUGAGAUAAAAUUUAUAUUUUUAAUUCCGGAUUAGUUUAGUUUUAGUUUAUGUUUUAAUUUGAAUGUGUUAGUGAUUUUAAUUCAUUAGUUUAAAUAAUCUUGGGAAAUAAAGUUUAUAUUUUUAGUUACGGAUUAGUUUAGUUUUAGUUUAUGUUAUAAUUUGAAUGUGUUAGUGAUUUUAAUUCAUUAGUUUAAAUAAUCUUGUGAGAUAAAGUUUAUAUUUUUAAUUCCGGAAUUUAUUUAGUUUUAGUUUAUGUUUUAGUUUGAAUGUGUUAGUGAUUUUAAUUCAUUAGUUUAAAUAAUCUUGUGAGAUAAAGUUUAUAUUUUUAAUUCGGGAUUAAUUUAGUUUUAGUUUAUGUUUUAGUUUGAAUGUGUUAGUGAUUUUAAUUCAUUAGUUUAAAUAAUCUUGUGAGAUGAAGUUUAUAUUUUUUAUUCCGGAUUAGUUUAGUUUUAGUUUGAAUGUGCUAGUGAUUUUAAUUCAUUAGUCUAAAUAAUCUGGUGAGAUAAAGUUUAUAUUUUUAAUUCCGGAUUAGUUUAGUUUUAGUUUAUGUUUUAGUUCGAAUGUGUUUUUUAUUUUAAUUCAUUAGUUUAAAUAAUCUUAUGAGAUAAAGUUUAUAUUUUUAAUUCCGGAUUAGUUUAGUUUUAGUUUAUGUUUUAGUUCGAAUGUGUUUUUUAUUUUAAUUCAUUAGUUUAAAUAAUCUUAUGAGAUAAAGUUUAUAUUUUUACUUCCGGAUUAGUUUAGUUUUAGUUUACGUUUUAGUUUGAAUGUAUUUGUAAUUUUAGUUCAUUAGUUUAAAUAAUCUCGUGAGAUAAAGUUUAUAUUUUUAAUUCCGGAUUAGUUUAGUUUUAAUUUAUGUUUUAGUUUGAAUGUGUUAGUGAUUUUAAUUCAUUAGUUUAAAUAAUCUUGUGAGAUAAAGUUUAUUUUUUUUUUGGAUUAGUUUAGUUUUAGUUUGAAUGUGUUAGUGAUUUUAAUUCAUUAGUUUAAAUAAUCUUGUGAGAUAAAUUUUAUAUUUUUUUUUAAUUCCACAUUAGUUUAGUUUUAGUUUAUGUUUUAGUUUGAAUGUGUUAGUAAUUUUAAUUCAUUAGUUUAAAUAAUUUUAUUAGAUAAAGUUUAUGUUUUUAAUUCUGAUUUAGUUUUGUUAUAAUUUAUUUUUUAGUUUGGAUAUAUUUGUGGUUGUAAUUCAAUAGUUUAAUUAAUCUGGCUAAAUAAAAUUCAUGUUUUUAAUUAUAAUUUAGUUUAGUUUUAAUAUGUUUUUUUUUUUUACUUUGAGUGUGUUUAUGAUUUUAAUCCAAUAGUUUAAUUAAUCCCAUUACAUAAAGUUUAUGUUUUUUUAAUUCUAAUUGAGUAUAGUUUCAAUUUAUUUUUAUUUUUUUUAAUCUAGGUGUACUUGUGUGUUUAGCCAAUCCUAUGUUAAUUCUUGAUUGUUAUGUUCAAUUUAUGUGCUUCUUGAAUACUAGUCUUUAAUUUUUGGUGAAUGUCUCAUUAGCUUAUUUGAUCUAAGUUUGAAUAAUUUAUUGUUUUGAUGGUCUCUCAUAAAAUUUACUUGUCAAAGGCCAUUGGAAAAUAGUGACGAUUGGUCUCCAUUCUCACAACUUUAGUUUGCUCGAAUUGUCCAAAUUUUCACUUUGUGAAUUCGUUUUCUUCUAUUUUGCUAGGUAUUUUAUUUCUUAUGUUUUGUUAUUUUCAAUGUUUUAAAAACCGGACCGGACCGGCCGGUUCAACCGGUUUAACCGUCGACCGGUCACGUUUCCGGCUCGGUUCACUCUAUUGAACCGCUUGGCUAUUGGACUGGACACAAAUCGCCUGAACCGGCGAUCAAACCGGUGACCUGGUCGAACCGAACGGUUCAAAACGAACCGAACAGUUCAAAUUAGCCCCUCAUUUUGCAAGAAGGGCCCAUUGAAUUUUAUUGAUUUGUACCAAAGCCCAUGCUGGGCCUUGUCUUAUGACAAAGCCCACACACGCAACCCAACCACAUUUUAGGCUGAGUCUUGAGCCCAUUAAUCGUGGUCAUGCCUGUGCCCUGAGGAUGGCUUUUAUAGGAGUCAUUUGCAUCCUUAUUCCUCUCACUUUCCGAUGUGGGAUUGCUAACAUUAUCAAUGAAAAAAUUAUAUAACAAUCUCCACCAAGAGAGCUUGAACCUUGGACCUCCGGUACACUACUCUCCCUAAGAGGCCACUCGGCUAUAUGCAUUUUGUUAUCUACCAUGCCAAACUAAAUAAUAUAUUUUAGAUUUUAAAAUUUUUUAUAAUAUUAAAUAAAAAUAAUAUAAUAUUUUUAAAAAUUAUAAAAUUAGUUUAAAUUUUCAAAUAUGUUCACAUUUAAAUAUUAUACAUAUUUCAUCUAAUUAAAUUUAAAAUUUUAAUUUGAUAAUAUCAAAGAUAUAAAAUAAUAUUAUUGAUUUUUAAUUUAUUCAUAUAUAUUUUAAAUUUUUUAUAAUUAUUUUUUAUUUUAAUAAUAUAUAAAUAAAAAAUUGCAUAUUUAUGACGUCACUGGUUCGACUGCGGUUCGACGACUGGUCCGACCAGUGAACCGUGAACCGAUAACUUUUCCGGUUCGAUGACCGGUCCGGUUCUGAAAACAUUGGUUAUUUUCACAUAAAUUCCCUUUAUUUUAAAAUCAAAUGCUUUCCUCAAAAGAUACCCUUGAAAAUUUUAUGUUAAAAAAUUCAUUUAAAGUCCUCAAGAUCAAAAUCUCUUUUUUUUAAAAAUAAAAUGCAACCAUAUCUUAAUCAGUUUGCAUCAUUUUCGGCUUCCAAUGAAAAUUUUGGUUUUGAACAAAACACAAACCAAAGCUUGUGGUCCCAAAUAAAUGGAACAAUUCUAGGCUAAAUUCGUGUAUAUCAAUUGGGAAAUUGGUGAAACCCCUACAUAAGAAAAUCUUUUCAAAACUUAUUUUGUUAUCACCCUUGUUAUUUGUUGUAAUCAUGUCUAUUUAUUUUUUAGGAAUUAUAUACAAGAUGUAUGUGAUAAUUGAUGAUUUCGUAUACUUUGAUAAUUUUUGUUAUGCUAAUUAGAUAUGCAUGUUAGGAUUUCUUGUUUUAUUAUUUAUUAUCUAACCCCCCAUGUCCUAAGAAAGAGUAUUAUGAGUUAUCUAUGCUAUCCAGGUACGCCCCCUAUCACCUACCUUCUAAAUUCUAUAAAUAUGAUUGUCAUUGUGAAUUAUGUUUAUGUUUGAUAGUGCUUGAGUGUUUUGAUAUACAUGUUUCAUUAUUCGAUUAUUUCUAAUAAAACACAUGCUGAAUGAUAUACUAUUUGAACUAACUUAAUUUGAUGUCUUGUGAUAGCGCUUAAGAAGCAGUCCAGGUACGUACCCGAAAUCUUCUUCAUGAUUGUGAUUGGUUUCCUUAUUUAGUAUGUUAUUUUUUAAAAUCACCUAGCCUACCUAGGUAUCUAUAAUUAACCAAUUAAUUGUCAUAUUUCCCUAAACUUAGUCAGUAGAGACCUUUGUAGGGCUUAAAGGGGUGCUACCUUUUAAAUGUAUCUUCCCAAUAGGUAACCUGAUCCCCGGAUUUAGACUCGGUUUUUUCAAAGACAUGUUUUUCCAAAAACUAUGAAGUCAUUUUUUUUAGGGUUUUAUUUCUUGUUUUAUUUUUCCUUUAAAAUAAAAUAAAAUAAGUGGCGACUCCGACUUUUCUAAAAUUAAUUUUUCACAAAUAAAAUUGAGUCUCACCAAUUGAGUGGGAGAUCACGUGAAAAAUGCGGGUCCACACGAGUCAUUCUAGUUUUCCAAUAGGGAUAGUCGAUUCCUAUGAAAAAUGGAGCUCUAUGUUUUGUAAAAUUUUCAAACUCAAAUUUUAUUGUGGUUCGGCACUUCCUUGCCUACGUCCACUCUCCUCAAUCUCCUAACCAAGUGAGGGUUCCACUAACUUGAAGCUUCAACCAAGCUUCCAAUCUUUUUACACUUGGAUUGCGGCUCCAAUUGGCUCUUGCACAAUCUCUUCAAGAUUCAAACCUCUUGAAAGCUUUAACACUCAGUUUUUACAAGAAUGAAUCCCUCAACCUAUCUCAAUGAUAUCUCAAAUACAAAACAAAGCUAGGAUGACUCACAAGGGUGCACUAAAAGAUAUGCAAGUGAGGAUUUAAUGCACUAAAAAGGAAAUGAGAGCUUUUAAGGCAAGAACAAGUAGGUAGACAAUUGAUUACAAGUGUCUUUCUGUCAUAAAUGAAGUGGAGCUCUCAAUUUAUAGGUUUUCAAGCUUGGGAGCCAAGAACAGCAAAAAAUAGCCUCAACCGGUAGAGCUGGGGGUCGACCGGUUCACUAGCUGUUGGAGCAUUUAAUGUUUUGACAGGUUACCAUUGUCUCGAUCGAACCUCAACCAGAGGUCGACCAGGAAGGAGGAAACCUCAACCAAGAAAGGAAGGAUACUAAAAAAGAGAGAGUGAUUUUGACACUCCUCGAUCGGACCUCGACCGCACAAGGGCAACCGGUCAAUUGGUUCCCCAACCAAUUGAGCCGGUUGGCUAGAGCCUCGACCGAUUCAGCCUUUUGGCCCUGAAAACCUAUCUUUUUCACUUCUUUUCUUUUCUAACACUUAGGCAAGGUCUUUAGGUAAAUUAAUAUGCCAAUUUUGAAACGUUUUGCCUAAGGUACAUUUGAUAAAACUCGGGUUUUAAUGAAAUUACAACUUUAGAGAACAAAUCGAGUUUUCCAAAGAUGCAUAAAAAGAUAUGUAAACCCUAAGUGCACUCAUGCAUUCAUCUUACAUUUUUUUUUUCUUAUGAUUAAAAGUCUUCCGAAAGUCCUGAUCUUGUAUCCAUUUGGUCAUUUGAUGAAUUUCCGAAUUUAUACCUGAGAUUCUUUACCAUUCAAACCAAGUAGUCACUUAACAAUGGUUUGUUAUCAUCAAAACCUGAUUAGGAGAACCCAUUGGGUUAACACUCUUUUUUACGUGUCUUUGUUUUCCAUAAUGGUAACAUUUGACUUUCUUCUUACCUUAAGGCUUUGACUUACUCUAUUUGUGACUCCCACUAGAACCACGUUUUGUUGAUCUUCCUUUAGAAAUAAUUAGAGCCUCAGUUUGUUGAGAAGAUGAUAUUUGUAUUCCUUAUUUUUAUGCCUACUUUCUUCCUCAAGUAUAGUAGUCGCAACAUUAUUAAAGACUAGUAAAAAACUGAAACACCCAAAGUGGGGGUGAAUGAGUGAUUUUAAAAUUUAAAAUAAAGAUUUAUAUAUAUUAUCCCCAAUUUUUAUCUUAAGAAGUACCAGUGAUACCUUGUAUAACCUAAUAGGCUAUACUUGAAAUCUUUAAGUAUAAAAAUAUGAUUUUUAUCUUCUAGGGAUAACCUAUGAGAUGUUAGGGGUAACAAUGAUAAUCAAACAUUCAAUGAUAUAACAAUGAAAUGAAAAGAUAUGCAGUGGGCAUGAGAUUUUUAUGUGGAAAACCCUCAUACUAACUAUAAAGGGAAAAAAAAAACCCCCACAAAAUCUAAGACCUACUAAUCUAAAUCCAUUAUGUGAAAUCAGGUUACACAUAUUUACUUGAUCAUCUUACCUUAAAGAUUUUCUUUCCAGUACCUACAACUUGAUUCACAUUCACAAUGCAGCAACCUUCAAUUGCUCCAAUGGAUCACUUUAGCCUCGUCAAAGGGAUGAAGGUCUUCAACCCAAGAUUCAUAAAUCAAAUCCUUAAAUGAGAGAUUGGGAAUGGUGUGGUACUUUAGGCUUUCUUCUCAAUGAGAACCUCUCAAUAAGUUUGAGAUCACUUUCCAAUCUCCAGAAUCUCUAAAACGAUCUUUUAAGCCUCAAAGGGUUAUAAUGAGGUAUUUAUAAGAGUAAAUCCUGAAGAGGUUUGGUUUUAGAAGACUUCCAAAUCAUAUUUGCAUGAAAGAAUCUUAGUUGAAAAUUCAUGACCACUCUAGCCUACUUUGGUGGCUUGAACGCUUCAAGUGCUCAAGUAGUAUGGAACGCUUGAGCGGUCAUCAUUUAAGUGUUGUUCCCCGCUUAAGCAUUCUCUAUUUUUCAAAAAAAUUAUAAAAAUUAAUUUUAAAUUCAAAACAAUUAUCAAUCCUCUUUAUACCUCAAUAGAGUCUACCACAAGCCAAAUAUUUUUAAACAUAUCUGUGACUUCCCAGUUGGACGAAUGGCAACUCUUGAUCUUCAAUGGAAAGCAAGUCACUAUCUAAAAAGACUUCUAUAUUCAAACAUUAAAAAAAAAACAAAAUUAUUAACAAUUAAACAAGACUCUAUCUCCUAACAACUAGCAUUAUCCUCAAAGCACCAUUGGCCAUAUUUAUGAUGAGAUGAUCAUAUGAGUCAGGUAGACUUUGGAAUAGAAGUUCAACACAUUCUUUCUCUUCUAUGUUAUGCUCCAUAGCUAACAGUUGAUAGAACAAAAAUUUUAGAGUGUUAAUGUGUUUAGUCAUCGAAGUAGAUUCUGACAUUCAAAUAGUGUAGAAUUUUCUUUCCAAGAAGAUUUUGUUAUGCAAUGAUUUGGCUUUAUAUAGUUUUGUUGAAGUACUUGUUGUUGCCUUGAGAAGGUGUAGACAUGAGCCCACAUAUGUCAAUUUGAAUUAGCUCCAAUACCUUCUUUGCAUUCUAAGAAACUUCAUUUGGAAAUGAUUGUCUGUGAUGCUUCCCAAUAGCACAACCUUCACAUAUUUCAUUCUUUUUUUCAAUGGUUUAGGCAACCCUUGUACCACAUCUUCCUUUGAUAAAGCAUUUUCAAGCUAUUGAAGUUCAAGUGCCUAAAUCUUCUAUGUCAUAACCAAACUUCAAUAUUUUCCACUCUAAAAGCCACAUUUUCAGCAUAUUUGAAUACAAAAAUUUUUUACAAUUAAAGCAUUAAGGCUUCCCUUUGAACCAACAAUCUUUCUUAACAUGAUUGCUUCUUUUAUAAAUACUACACAUUGUGAGUGAUAAGGCUUCUUUGUUAGUGAACUUUCUUCCAUUGUUGAAGUUUUUUCUACCUCUUCCUCUUCCUCACCUAGUUCUACCACCUUUGGAUAUAUCACUUCUAUUUUCAUUGCUUGUAGGUUUCCUUUCAACUGAUUUUUUAGAAUGCCUCAACAAUCUCUACUCAUAAGUUUUUAAAGACCUAAAUAGCUCUUGUACAUUGAGUUAUGAGAGAUCUUUUGUUUUUUCAACCAUAGCCACAAUUGGGUCAUAUUUAUUAGGUAGGCUGAUCAAAAUUUUCUCAAUAAUUCUUCUGUCACUAAUUUCUUCACCAUGUGACUUCAUUUGAUUUAUGAACUCCAUAAAUCUAGAAGAGAACUCAUUUAGAGUUUAAUUCUCCCUUAUUUUCAUAUUUUCUAGCUCUCUUCUUAAAUAUUGAAGCCUUACUGAUCGGGUUCUUCUAUAUCCUUGGAACUCUUGUUGGAGGAUGUCCCAUGCUUCUUUACCUUUUGAAGCUAGCUCUCAUAAUUCUUGGGAAAACGCUAUUACCAACACCCUAUUGAAUAAAUAGGAGAGCUUUUGCAUCCUUUUUUUUUUCCAAUCUUUCAAUUGAUCUUUUUUAAUUGGAGUUAGUGUAGCUGCAUUUUCAUGUUCAUCAAAACCAUUUUCAACCAAAUCCUAAACAUCUUGAGACAUAAAUAAUGUUUUCAUUUUUAUGCACCAAAAAUCAUAGUUUUCUCCUUCAAAUAAUGGAAUAGAAGAGGCAUGAAAACUCAUACUUGUAAGAUUUGUGUUGGCCAUUGAUCUACUCUUCAAAUCCUUGGUCCUUCUACUUCAAUGUUGAGGGUUUCUAGCUACAUAAUCUGCUUGCAAAACAACAGCAACACUUGCUCUUCAUUUUAUCUUUCCUUGUUUGCCUUCAAAUUUUGUUGCUUCAAUGACCGCCAAUUCAAUUAUAUUGUGGGUUUGGAUUUGGGUCUUCAAGUGAAAAGAAACCCUAGAAUCCUCCUUCUCCAAAAUAGUGGAUAUUUCUUAAAAUUCCAUACAUAAGAGACAUGUUGCAAUAGAUAAGAGGACUUGAAAAAGAGAGAUAGUAUAUGUUGGUGAGACACCCUGAAAUCUGGGAACAAAAAACUGGAAACAACAAGUUCUUUGAUACUAGUUCUUUUGAUUGAAAGGUGGGUUCAUGAAACGGGUGACUUUGAUACUAGUUCUUUUGGUUAUAGUUUCGACUUGAAAACAGAGGAUGGAUACUGAAAGAAAAUGGAAGAGUAACAGCCGGAAACAAAGAAGUAAAACAGUCCCCCAUAAAACAAAGUUCUUUUGGUUAUAGUUUUUCACUUCGCAUUUCUCUCUUGGAUUUUUUUAUUUUUUUAUUUUUGUUAUAGUUUGCAAGCUACAAAACCAGAUGUUAAGAAAUUUAACUUGAAUAAAUCUCUCCACAUGGGAGCAUAACAACCACUCAAAACAUAAAAAACAAAAAACUAAUUUUUAUAUAAAUGCAACCCAAUAGGCACCUUGUGUUACAUCCGUGCUGCUUGUGCAUGCAGCCGUAUUUGCAAUGAUAGCAAAUCUCUUAAUCUCUAUAGUUUGAGUUUGAUAUUUAGGAUUGGGAUUAUAAUUGAAUAAGAAUGAAGGUAACUAGAAAAGUAAAAUCCAAAUGAUGAGAGUGAGUUUGGAUUUCCAUGAGAUUCAAUUUGUCAUUCUUAUUCUUAUUCUCAUUUCUAGAAAACGGUCUAAAUGCAGUAAUAAAAAUGAUGUGUGGAAAAGUGGGUUUCAUGCAUAAAAAGAAAAUAAAAGAUAAAAACUCCUAAAAAUAAUUCAAAUUUUAUGUAUUUUCAAGUAAAAAAUACUUACGAUGAUCAAAUUUAGUACCUAUGUCAUAUCUAGAUGGUCAAAUUAAGAUAAUACUUUUGAUCAAAAGAUGCACAAAAUCCGAAUUAUUUUUAGGUAAUUAAUAUAUUAAACUUAAAUUUUACAAAUUCUUUGUACAAAAACAACCUUUUUUGCUUUAUCUGAUUCUAUUCUAUAUUCCAUCAUUUCAAACAUGGGGAAUGAUAAUAUUGUGAGUUAUAUGAACGUAUUAUUGGUUUUCAGUUUCGGUUCUGAAUUUUAUAGUGACAACUACAUGGGAACACAUAAGCAUAAUCAACACAAGGAUAAUAUUUGAAGGACACUCCGACAUCUAAUAGCAAUCACCAUAUAGAGUACAUGGACCCGGAUGGAAAUCAAUGGAUAAUAGCAUUCACCAGCACCUCAAGUUUGCAAGCUGGCUUCCUUCUACAUCAUGUGGAUGCAAUGAGGCAAUCAAAUUUUAUUACAUCACACGGAAAAACAGGAAGGGGAAAACAAAGAAAACAAAAUAAAUGAACACACGCAUGAAAUUAUUUCAGUCGCAAGCAACCUGCAUGCAUCAUAUGAAAAACAGAAGCAGAGGCUUAGUAGAGUGCGCUUAUGGCGUUCUCGUCAUGGCAGCACCCGAAAGUGAUGUACUUCUCCAUGAUCUGGAGGCACUCUGGGCACCUGAUCUUCUCUGGAAUCCUUCCAACUUCGCUCGGGAACUCAAAGCGGCAGCAGGGCUGAGAAUCGCUAUGAAGCUUGCUAUGGAAAUCCAUGCAAGCAAUAUCGAAGCCCUUUGGAGGCACGUCGUCUUUCCAUAAAUUGUACUCGGUAAAGGUGGGCAAAACAGUGCUGCUGUGGCCAUUGACGAACACAAAAGACCCCUUGCUCAGUACAGCCCAUCCUCCUUCUUUGUCAUAGCUGAGAAGUUUCUUGAUUUCCCUCAACAUGGAGUCAUCAUCGUCGCCCCUCCCUAGCUGGAUCUUGGAGAACAACAUGCUUUCCAAUCGGGUCCAGAAGAACCAAACCAUGGUGAGGUCUUGCCAGCAGUAGCUGAGAUUCUCCGUGGUGAUGCUUGUUAUGCAUUUCCGAACUUGCUCUCUCUUGUUGCUCUUUCCCACGUACACCAUCUCUAAGGGGAUCCGUGCAGCCGAUGCAACUGCCUUUGCUGUGGUUGUGAAUUUUCGGAUCCACUCCAUGUCAGUCCCUCCAUACAAGUAAAUGAAUUUUCCUUCUUUGACCUGAUGGAACAAAAACAUUCCCAGGGUAUUUUAAAAAUGUUCACGAUUGGUCUCAUAUUAGGGAAAAGUGAGUUCAUUCAUGCACAUCUAAAUAUGUAUUUAGAUUGGUAAAGGUUAAUUACCCAGUUCAGUACAGUUGGGUCAAUGCCAUCCACCAGCAGCUCAAGCCUCCAAGUCUCUUCCUUCCACAGAGCUUCCUCCCUCAAACUGGUGAACGGAAAGGCGGUACUCCCCCAUAUCCACAUCAUGUGGAUUGCAUUAGGGCUCACCACUCUUCCUUGUGGAUCUAGCACCACAAGGAUGGGCUUGUUCCGGAAGUGCCACACCUCCUUGAUGAACCUGAUGACUGCCUUAUCAAUCAGUGUAGGAGUGUAUACUGAAUACCAUGGCAUUGUGGCCUGCAGAGUCUCAAACCGAUCUUGCAUGGCAUCUGUCCACAUGACUGAGCGGUCCACAACUGGGAUCCACACAACUUCGUACUGACUCUCCAUCCUAGUCCCGUGGACCCGAGACUCAUUAUAGAUCUGUUCCAGAAUUGAAAGCUCGUCAUGGGAGAUGGAUAGGCCUGAUAUAAGCAGCAAAACAUUCUUCCUCCUCAGCACAUCUAUGUUAACCUGCGGCAUUAAAGUUAGAACUUUAGGUUAGUAGUAACGAAGGGGAAAAAGAAAAUGCACAUUAGAACUUUUAAGUCUUGGUAAUAAUUUUUUUUAUAUAUGACAGUUCCAUGGAAUAGUGCUACUGCCAAUGCAGUAAUGCAGUGAUGUGUUUGGAGAGUGAACCCUUCUCUUUGUAGAGCCUUCAAGCAGUGGCUGCACGUCAUCCUUGGGAGAAAUCAGUGCCCUGAGAAUCUUCAUGUUGUCAAUGUGAAUACUCUCAAAGAGAUUCAGAAGCAUUUGAAAAGUUUCAGCAUUCCACUUAUCAUCUGCAUCAAACAGCAAUCCCUUGUCAGAUUUAAAAUCCAUUUCAUUGGUAUUUACAUUAGCUGUGCAACACUUGCUUUCAUAAAUUUGGAAAGGGUUGGUGGUCUUACCUAUGUAUUGGUAACAAAGAGUAAGUUGCUUCUUCAGAAGGUCCAGUAUGCUAUUGAUCUUGUGAGCCAUGGUGGACAGUUCCCAUGCCUCAUUUGUAGCAGAUGUCCAGUACCUAAAAUCAUUGCAAUUGUCAUAAGUAAAAUGAUUGUUGCCUAACCAGCAUUCCCAAUGGAUUAAGUGGCAUAUCAUAUAAUUCUUCCACAAAAUCAGAGGCAUUUAUUUUUUGUCUUUGGAAAAUUAGCAAAUGGAAAAGAUAUUUAGUUGGCAAUACGUUGCUUUACUAAGGUUGAAAGAUUGAAGCACGAUAUAUCAGCAAAGACAAUAUAACAUACUCAUGGCCCAUGCUAGUGAGGGUUGUAAUCUGAGUUGCGCAAGCCACAACACUCCUGAUGGUCCAGUAAACAGCAGUGGGGAUAUGGGUCAUUGCUGUUGCUAAUGCUGGUACGUCCUGGCUUAUAUACAUGGACGGGAGCUCCUUGAACUCAAUAAUGCACCUGGUAAUUGCCACCAUAGCCCUGAUGAGAUUGUUAAGAGCAUCAAACCGUGGUUUCAGUUGACCAGAGUGCUCCAAGAUGAUGGGCACUUGCUUAAGGAUUGCCAUUGAUUUCGCAAGUUGGUUGGAUGAAUAGAUCUGAGCAAGGAGCCAGAAUUCACCAUAGUUCACAGCAAAAGCUGAUAGGGUUAGCACCAGCUUUGCUUCCCAUGAAUAGCUUGUUAACAGGUCGAAUAUAGAGAGUGUCGUUGCAUGAGCAUCACCUCCGCCCAAACUCUUGUAUGCUAUCUG